rnacentral:lncRNA from 1 species
GCUUCUGGUAAUUUAUUCAAUUACUUGUACUUGAACUGUUUUUUCUUUCUUUGUUGAAUUAUUUAUUUCUCUUUUGGUAUGUUGGUUAUCUAAAAGCAUCUGUGACUUGUUUUAGUACUUUCGUCACAACUAUGGCAUUGGCAUGGGCCUUUGCUAAACUAGACUAUCAGAGCUCGAUCAUGGCAAACGAAGGAACUCAGACCCGAUCUAGACAACUUGAGGAGCAAGUUAGAGCUAUGAGAGAAUCCAUGGAUAAGAUCCAAGCAGAUCUAGCCGAACGGAUGCAACAACAGAGUGAAGAGUUUCAAGCUCAAAAACAAUUACAACAACAACAGUUUGAGAAGCAAGUAGUUGAGUCUAUUUUUUAAAUACAGAGAGAGGUUAGUGGCUUCAACCUCUCACAAAGAGGGAUAGAGGCAACACCUUUUGACGCCCUCCAAUUUAGACUCACACUGCAGGGGCAAUAGAACAAUUUAGAAUAUGCGGUAGUGUUAGUAGUUUUUUACAUCUAUUAGGCAUUUUUGCAAAUACAUGGAUUUUGUGUGUGUAACCAAGACAAUACACCUCAACGUCAUCUUAUCGAACACAUAAAGGGGACUGGCCUCUUUCACUAAGACAACAAUUAUGGCCGUGUAGAUGCAGUAUUCGAUGUUUCACAAAACAAAGACAGAGGAGGUUGUAAGAGAGACCUUGUCAGUGCGAAGGAGAGGAAAGGCGUGUCGAGAAGAAGACACCUGUCCGGAGAGGUGCAAAGGAGAGCCGCGAGAGGAAAUGCAAUUCUCGGGUGAGGGAAUGGGAGGCUAGCAACCUCGUUUGAAGCGGAUUUAAAAGCAGGGAAUUAUCAUUCGAGAAAUACUCCCCCUCUUGCAGCGAGAGCCCACUCCUACCUAAGGAAGGGGCUUGUAGAUCUAUAUUUGGAUUAAGGGGCGGUAUGGAUGGAAGAGCGCUUCUAUUCUAUUGGUAGGCAGUCGCUGGCCGAGGAGGCUGCUCUCUCUAUCUAGAAUGAAAAGAGGAGAGAAGUAGCACGCACUGGAGUGGGAGUGGUUCCAGUGCCGAAAUCGCCCUUUCUCUUAUUCGUACUAAACUAAGGGGGAGGAGGGCUUAUCUUAAUAUUCCAUCUUGUUUGUUAGCUGACAACUCCAUCCAUCUUGCUUGUGCUCAUUCUAUCACUAUCACUAUGGGGCUGGGGCACCACAUAUAUAAGCAUUGGGAGAUCGAUCUAAUUCUACCAAAGGCAAAAGAAAUGGGAAGCAAAGUGUUGGUUAUCUAGCUAGUAUAGAGAUGAUGCAGUAUCUUCUCUUCAUUGGCGAGACAAGCAAAGAAGUAGAUUCAAAAAAGCAAAGUCAAGCAAGCAGCAACAUUGGUGACUUUAUUGAGUCUUGUCCUAGUUGAUCUGGAAAUGCCCGAAGAAGCCUUUGACUCAUCCAAUGCUUAAUUGGUUGUCCUAAUUUCUUUCUUGAAAACAUGUACGAAAUGAAAGACUUAUGUGAAUAAGAUCCAAUUCUAUGAGAACAUUCACAAUUGAUCGAUAGCUCACAAGCUACCUGCUUAUAGGCGGGGCAUCAGUUGUAACAAACAGGGGAGUCAGGUAAGAAGAAUCAGCCUCGGAAAAGAAGAAUUCAGCGCUCAUAUCCUCGUUUCCAACAUGCAUUCGUAGGCAAGUUUAUAAGGUGGAGGAAGCAACUGUUUUGAAUCCUGCAAACAGAACGUUUGAAUCUGAUCAGUCUAUUGAUAAGUAAGCACUUGAGCCAGAGAGACAAGCAACUAUAGGUAUAAAUAAUUCAGCAGAAACUCUUGGUUUCAGUUCAGCAGUGUUUACGACGCAUUGAGCAGAAACGUUGAAAUAGAAGCAGAGUUUCUUUUCUGUUGGACUUUGUGCUUGCCUUUGAAGGAGGAAGAGUGUGGUGCCUGCAGAGAUAAGCUGUUGAGAUGCAGAAUGAAACCAGAAAUGCCUUUGUUGAGAAGCUUGUUCAUUAUCCUUUUCAGUUGUUCAGUGUACGCGUCCUGAGAUGUGCAAUCCUUUAAUGAGAGGAGAGUAUCAUCUUCUAAGGUAAUGAGAAAUUCUCUGGUCUUCAAAUUGAGGGCAAAUGGGCUAUGUUUAUAGAGCCAAUCAUGACAUCGUAUUCUUUCAAGUCCAGGACUCUAAGGUUGUUGUUGAAGGCAUGUUUCUGAAUAGAGAAUGCAGUGUCUGCUAUGAUUGCCCCAGAUGUAAGUUGGCCUCCCCCAGCCACAGCUAUUUUAGCCGAAUUUUUGGAUAUGGCAAGUGGUUUUAACUGCGAAAGACAAAUCAAUGAAUGUACUUGAACUGCCGGUAUCAAUAAGGGCAAUGCCUGUUUGUCCACCAACAGUGACCUUGACUUAAAAUGUGCCAGCAGUGACCAGCCCUGAAACUGCAUGAGCCGAAAUAUGCAUGAGAUACUCAUUUGGAGGGGAGUCCUGAUCCUGUGGGAUUUCAUUUCUUCUUCUUCUUGUACUGCAAUCUCUUCUGUGGCAUCAUUUGGUGUGUAAGUUUCCUGCAUGACAUUGCAUUGAUAGUAGGGAUUAACUUGCAUUUGUGACCGGGGACCCAUUUCUCACCACAUCUCCAGCAUUCACCAGCUUUUCUAGCUCUCUGUUGUUGCACUUGGGGAGCCGCACCGCAGGUUGUUCUUUAGUUUUGUCUGGUGUGGUGGUAGCAGGUUCUGCACAAAAGGAGAGUUCUGUAUGGAGCAGCAGUGAUUUGUCUCUGAUAUGAAGAAAACUGUUUCUUAGGUGGGGCACUGCGUUCCAUGUCUUUGGCCUGCCAGUACGCAUCAGUCAGGGACUCUGGAUGGAGAGGCCUGAGUUGGUGUUUGAUGUCAUGACGAAGGCCGUUGACAAAGCAUUUUACAAACCACUCUUCGGUUAGCUCUGGUGUAUCUUGUUUCAACAUAGUCAUGAAAUCUUCAAACUUAUCAAUAUAAGCAUUGACUGUCAUGUUGUCUUGUUUCAGUGCAUUGAAAGUUUCAGCAACUUCAUAGGGACUGUAUGCAGAGAAACGAUGAGUAAUCAUGCGACAGAAAUCUGACCAAGAGGAAUCUUGCCCAGUGGUCUAAUAUGAAUAAGAAAUGGCAGCUAUAACAGAGAUUUUUCUCAAUCGCUCAGCUUGAAGGUAGGUCCUUGUCACUAGAACGAAAUGCAAGGGUUGGUGGAUCGGUGAUUUCUGAUAAUACAAGCAAGGACACACCUCUGGCUGUAUCUUGUGAGCCAGCCCUUACCGAAGGCAUGAUGGAGUGAAAGAUCGGGACUCUUGGCUAUCAAAAGAGCGAGCCGAAGUAAAUUCGACAAGAAAGCUAUCCGAUGUAUAUUCGUUGGAUAUGAUAAUGAGCGAAAAUGGUGGAAGGUUUCACUCCAGCAGGGGCCGCCGUUCCGGACCCAACCCAACAGAGGCAGGGGUAAUUCUUUGCAGUCUAAUGAGGCUGGGACAAGCUUUGCUUUUGUACUGGUUUGGUUGAAACUGAGGAUUUGGUAUAGCAAAGACCGUCACCAUCCCAAUAGAGGGCUCCAGAGAACACUCUAAAAGGGGAGCAUGUGGUCAACCACCAAGAAUCUAGCAGUGGGCCUAGCUUCGUACCAUGAUCAAUUCACUCUCUCUCGAAUCUUCAGCAUCCAUUGCGCUUCUUUCUUGUGUUGACCGAAAAAAGCUCGGUAUGAUUCAAUACAUUCUAGGAACCUGGGGCAGUGAAUCGAUGAAUUGGAGGACAGACCGCUUUUACUAGUUAUUCUUGCAGGGGUCUUGGGCAAUCAAGACCAGCCAGUGACUCAAUGAGGAAGGGAGAGUGGGAUAGCUACAAGCGAUCCAGGGAGUCUUCCGUAAGACAAGAUCGACUUCCUUUUGCACCUGUUCCAUUUGUUGAAUGAAAUACCCCCUUCCUACGGUGAGUGUUGGGUGAGGGAAGGGAUAUUUUGAUUGAAGAGCUCGCUUUGUCGAAAUCCCUAUAAUGAAUAGCAUUUGCUGCUGCCGAAUAAACCAACUUUAAGAUGGGAUAAGAUGCUCAAUAAGGCAUGAGGGUCAGUAUCAUAACGGUUUCCUCCUAGUAAGGCCACUCAUCAAGAACUCUUUUUUCUAUCCAACCAGUCAAGACAGACUCACAUUGAGCGUAGGUCUCAACCCCUUACCUUUCGCCAUGCGCUGAAUUCCAAUUCCAAUCAGUUGACACUUUGCACAAGAACUAGCAAGAAAUGAAAUGAUAAGAAAAACCAUAUCACCUUGCGACGUCUACUUUCAUUUGAAUAGGAACAUAGGCAUCCCGCGUGGGGGAAAACCCUAUCCCCCAUCUUUCACUUCCCCUUUAGAUGAGAAGCCGAAGGUGGCUAUCAAUAUGGCACCUCGAAGAGCAUAAAAGCAAUGAGCCCGAAGCCUGAAACCUGAAACCAUAGAUUGAACACUCAAAGAGGAUCAACCUAGUCAAUAGAUUGAGACACAACCUGCUUACUCACCUAGGGUCGGUCCGGCUCCGCCUACUACUCCUAUCCUACUUAUCCUUUUUUUUAAGCUAGAAACAGAGCAAUAGCCAUACAAUGGAGAGCAUAACCUAAAGGAAAGGGGUGGGUCGAAGGAUAACUAAAGGUGACAAGUCGAUCUAUUUUUGAGAGAAGAGCUAGAGCAGUUGACAGCUCACUAAGGAGUCUGUCUCGUCUAGUAGAGCUAUUAUCCAAUGGGUCACCAGAGUAGAGAUGACCUUUUAACCAUAGCAUCUGACUGUAUAAAAUGGCAAGGUGUUUGUUAGUGCUUCCCUUUCUUUAUCUAGCAAGAUAUCAAUAAGGCUGAUGGCUAACCAGAGAAUCAUUGCCAUAGGGUUCUCGAGAGUCAACCCUGUCUGGCCUACAAGCUUUUGGAGUUAGAGAAUGUACACUCUAUGAGGUGUAAACUGAUGUAGAGGAUCCAGACAAACAAUACCCUUGAAGAGUUUUAUGAGCAUAGUCAUCGAACUUCACUAUACUAUUAGGUUUGUCAUGACAUCUUCCCUCUUCAAAAGACUAUUUUUAAGAAUGAAUCAGGGUUUUUGCGCUCCUUGGAAUCAGGCCUAUACGUAGUGUAUGUAAGCCGCCUGCUGCUGCUAAAGCAAGGUAUGAGGGUUAAAGUAAGCGAUGCACAUCUUGAUAUACUCAAUUAAGUAAGACUAUCUUAUCUAGUUCUGUUUAUGCGUCUAGUGAGCAUUGAACUCCUUUGACAAGCGCAAUGCUUCUUUAUCGAUCAGUUAGACGCUUUAUACCAGGUUAAAGCUGAAGUGACGAUACCAGUGCCUGCCGAACUUCCAAGCCCUCAAAUAUCGAGGAUAUGGUGUGCCCCGUUACCUUAUUUCUAGGUGUAAUAAAGGCUCUCCCCCGACUAGAAGGAUCCAGGGACAACGGCUAUUUCCUCCUAAAAUAUUGGCAGUAGCCGAAACGACUGGAAACCCAGGUAGCGGUCCGGAAAGGGCAAAAGGGCAAGGUGAGUAGUGAAAGCAAGAACGUUCUUUCGCAUAUAGAGCGACUGCCCAAGCCCUGAUUCAGGGUUACUGGUCCACACCAACUGAUCAGGUAUCGGAUAAUAGGGAAUAUUUGUUUCAGCCGUGGUCCAGUCCAGCAGCCUCUUUUCGAUCCAAGAGUCGCAUGAGAAGAAAGCUUCCGGUUAGCUUCAGUUAGUGUUAGUUAAAUAGAACGGGAACCUCGUAACUAUGCCAAGCCAAGCCCGAUCUUGGUUCCAAUGCUGCAGAGAAAGGUUAUGGGUAAAAAGAAGGUCUUUAUCCUGGUGCUGCGGAGACCGGUGUUGCUGAUCGAACUCAUUUUCUUUCGAGGAGAUCGAAAAUCUCUGAAUUUCUGCGAAACGAAUUGACAUAUUUAUUGCGAGUUGAAAAGCGAAAGGAUGAAGACAGAUUUAGAUCCUCUGAAAGCGCAGGAAGUAUGCCUUUUGAGCUUUUUCUCCACCCACCUCUGAGCAUCCUGUUGGAAUGGUCCUAGGAAAGACUACGUACGAGAAAUCAUUCUCACAGCCAACUUUCCUUCUUCUGAGCAAAUAAAUGUAGUAUUUAGUCCAACCAAUCAUUGGUGAAUCUCUUGUAUGUCUUUCGUGAAAAGUGGAGUAUUUGUGCCCAAGAUCUUUCUAUCCCCUUUAGUAGGUGCACACAUCUCGUAUGGUAAAUAUACCAUUGUGCCCUAUAAGGUAAGAUUGAUUGACGGAGUCAAGAGAUGGGGAUCUUGGUUUAGCAGCGGCUGCCUGUCCUUUUCUUUCGUGAAAGGUAUGAUCUAGAGUGUGAUUCUGAUCCCGUGAUUGGGUGCUUGGCGUAGAAUGAGUGGAGCAUACUAGGAAUGCCGAAUGCUCGCUCAGUGAGGGAGCUCUGUUGGAGAAGAGUGGGACUAGAAAGAUGGAAUACCCAUGUAAGGCCAAUAGUUGAGGUACCUGGAUCCAGACAAAACUCCCUUUCAUUGAAACGAGUACUCCACAUCUUAGGGUCCCAGCCAGCCUAUGAGCAAAGCUAGGAAAGCAUUCUUCUUCUUUCCUCAGGAUGAAAUAAUUCGGUGAAACUAUUAUUCUAAUAAGGCCAGCCCUAUCUAGAUCCCGUAGCUUUCUUUUCUAGAGAACUUCAUCUUUAAGCUUGGCUCCCUGGAGUGUUCGACGUCAAACUAGCUACUCUGCUGUUCGGAACUCACUAUUCGUUUGGGCUAUGGCUCUCAGCUUGAAAAGAAGAAUGAAAUUAGGGCAGGCGGGGCUCUCUAUUAAUUGGGAACACUUCAUUCUGCUGGCUACCUUGCAUCAAAGAAAACUUCCUUGCUGGCUGCACUCCGCGCACUUCAAGGAGUAAGUAUACGCUUCCUUCGGUCGAAGCAAUAAGGUCUGUUUCACUGUUGGACUCGAAGUAUCAUGGGCUCUUUCCCAUCUAACAUAUGUGUGCUCCGGACAAACACUUGUUUUCAUCGUUGAUCUCCUAAUCCUACUGGGAACUCUUAGUAGGUGGUAGCUCAUCUAAUCCUUUAGCUUCGCAGGCUUUCGUUUCUCUCUUUCGGUAAAACCUAUUCCAAUUCUCGUAAAUAGUAUGUAUUCGCUGAUAUCGAAAUCAGGGUUUUCCGCUUUGGAUCGCUGCGCUGGGUGGAGAAGAGGAAUCAACGAUAAAUCCAGGAAAGAGCUGCGAAAGAAAAGCGUGACGAGCAAAGUCAAGUCUGCCUUUCUAUUUCUUCUUUAUCCGCUUUGAGAUAUAGUUGCCUUCCUUGGCAAGGGAUUUUUCACCCAGUCACUGUAGUUAGGAAAAAGAAGCUAGUGAACGUGGAACUCCAUCCUCUUUUCCAGGCGGGACAGAGAGAGUGGAUUGGCUUUUUCCUCCCAUCCCAAAUAAAGAAGACUUUGAGGAAGGUUCACCUUGUAUCAAAAGCAAGUCAGAAUAGUUUCUAUUCCUAGUCAAGAUUCACUCUUUCUUUGCAUGAAGGCUUUGAAUAUAAACAGCACUCUGUCACGAUUCGUGGGAUUUGAACUAUUAGAAAAGUCCGUCCGUGUGCCAAACCCAGAUCAAGUACUGUACAUCAGGAUCCCCCCAGCAUAAACACUAGAGAACGACUGUGGUUAUCCUCACAAGGGGAACAAGCAACGGGUCGAUUGCACAUCUAAUGAAAAUCUAUGAUAUUCCUAUCUUUUGUCAUUUGAAAUGAAAUUCAAUGAUUUCGAUCAACUUAUCUGGGAAUCUGUCAUUCCAUUUGUUCCACUUUCGUUUUACUGAAAUAACUCACUUGAGUUGAAGUAAGUCAACACCUUUCAGUUGAGCAACUGUCUUUAGAGAGGGAAUAACCAGCGUUUUAGCGAUAAUCUAACAAAAUCAUCAGUGAAAAGAGAAUCAAGCCGACUUCGAACAGCUAAAAUCCAAUUCCCCACGGAUCGUAAUCGCUUUCCCAUGCUUUUUUACUUGUUGCCCAAGCUAGCUUAGCUUACUACAGCUACUGAUACGGCAACUCAAGCUACUAAUCUAAUAUAUGUCUUUGAUUCUUGUCUUUCAUGCUUCGCCGCUGGGAUUCAUACCACGGAAGCGACUACUACUUAUAGCUAGAAAAGGGAAUUCAAGGUGGUAAUUAAUACUCCUAAAAAAGGCUACUCACUACUACUGGGCCACUAGCUUUUAUUCCUAUACCUGACUGGCUAAUCUGAGGGAUACGGCAUGGCAAGCAAGCAAACUUAUAGGCAAGCCGGUAAACUACUAGGAAAUCGGAAAAUCUUUCUUUUACUACUUUUUCUGAUAACACUCUCGAAGCGAGCAAGCACUACUUGCAACCUGAUAUCUAUCUUUCAAUCUUAUUACCUGCCUGAAAGUCUUAUAGCAAGCAACUUAUCUUAUUACUGUCUUUCCUAAUACUCUAGGUAAUAGCAACUCAGAUUCGCUUCCUCUAUUUCUUCUAUCUCUUAAUCUGUAUAAGAGAGAACCCCUUGGUAAAAGUAUAGAAACUGCAUAUCAGCUUACGACUAGAAUUCUUAUUUGUUACCGCGCUCCAAGCUACUGAACAUAAAAGCUAUAAGCAUGAAAUCAAUCUGCUAAGCAAGCUUACUACUUAUUAACUUGAAACCGGAUAGCUGACCUUUAUUCCUAUAAUCGAGUGGAGUUCUUCUAUCUGACUCCAAACCGGGUACGCCAAGCUCCAUACAGUAGAUACGAGCCGGUAAACUACAAUCUGGUAUUCUUAACUCCGACUUUGAAACUGCUAGCUGGUAAAAAGAAUGAAGGACCAUAAUUAAUGCUAUCGAGGCCCCAAGUCAAGCAACAAAGCUUCUAGCCGAUAGAAAGAAUGGGUACGAGCCUAUCUUGCUAAGACAAGGGAAACUCUAGCUGCACUUACUCCUUGGUCAGUAUAAACUACAUGGCUUACGAGAAGCUGCUCUUCAAACUCACAGCCAACUUGGAGUCAGAUUUCCAGCCGCUUAUAAACGGCAUAGAGAAGUAGGAGCCUCGCAUACAACCUGAACUCUGGUAUCAAGCCUGCCAACUCAAUUCUAUCUGGGUAAAAGGGCAAUAUACGAAAGGAAGGAUCGAUAACUGAUUUAUGGCUUUCAACCUGCUAACUUAGCAUCUUAUUUCUUUCUCCCAAUCUGGUAUCGACUAAUAAAGCGCGCCUUCUAACUCAUAUCUGUCUUGCUAUCUUCCAUCUAAUACCAGUGAAACGACAACUCCUGAUAGACCUUCUGAUACGACAACUGCGACUUGCAGUUUGAUAUCCGGCUUGAACUGUUCUAUCUGGCUUUCUAUCUCAUAUCCGCAAUUAAGAAUUCAAAGCAGUAAUUAAAGUAUGGAUACGAUGGCUUUGCCUUGCGUUCUUCAAUCAUGGCUUUCAAGUCUGAUAACCGCAAUUAGGAAUUCAAAGCACUCUCGAGGCGAGCACAAGCAAUCUGAUAGAGGAGCUACUAAUACUAUAGAUAGGAAACGCCUAAGCAAGUAUGAUACGAGAAAGCAAUUCUAUCUUUGACUGGUUUUUCAAACUGAUAACUGCAAUUCAACUCCCGGCAACUACAAACCACUAAUCUUAUUCCUUACUUCAAUUCUUGUACCAAGCCUACUUAAUUUCCAAUCUCACUACUUCCUUUUCAACUUCUAACUUAUAUGAUUGAUACGAAAAGCGGACUUGAAAACUUAAAUUAACAAGGCACGACAACUACAGCUACAAACUCGAAUGCAAAAGCCGAUACUACUACUCAAUUCACUCAGCUUACGACUCUUAUUCAUGGCUUUAAAUCGUAUAAGCACUAAGUCAAACUAGGGAAAACUUGCAAGCUUAACUUGAACUGCUAAAACUGAAUAGGCCGAUACGAGAACUCAAUACACUAUCGAAACUAACACUGCUGGGUAAAACAAUAGAAACUACUGCUCGGCUACUCCCUAAUACCAGAGAAAUGGCAUCACGGCUUGCAGCUCUUCUUGCUAAAACAGAUGAAACUACUACUCCGGAAACGAAUACUCAAUCUUCAACCAAAGCUUCAAAUCUGAUAACUGCAAUUCAACUAUCUGACUCGCAUUCUUACUCUCACUGAUAAAAGUAUGUAGACGACAAGAAGGAACUAGCCUUAUUUGCCACUUUCAACCAGCCUCGCGUUCUUCAAUUAAUACCACGUAACCGAGCAAUCAAGCCUACAAUUCAAACUAGAAAACAACAGCUCGAAUACGAAGAUUUAUAAGCGAAAGCGAGAGUUAACAUCUUCCUUGAGCUAUGGAAACAACUGCCUAACGAAAAACCUUAUUCACUGACUUUAUAUCUGCUAACAGCGAUUACUACUACCGCUCUCGAAGCGAAUACUCAACUGCCAAUCUCAUUUAUGCCUCUUAAUAAACUAGCUGGUAUUCUGAUAAUCGACUUUCAGUCUUCCUUGCAGGCAGGCUUUGUAAAGCACUACGGAUACGCCCUUAUUAAUACAAUUGAUAGGACUUAUUUACUUGUUUUGUAUGGUUAUUUGUCCCUUCUUUCUAUUGCUAAAGGUUAGUUUUGAUUCCUCUCUCUAUCGUACUCUUAUUCCUCUAAUCCACUUACAAUCUGAUAGUUGCUAUGGAGCCUGAGCUCAGACGUAGAUAGGGCAUCACGGCUAGAAUUCUUCUUUAUGAGUCCAAUUCUUACUUCUUCCUUUCGAGUCUUAUAUCGUACUGCAAUUAUGAUAGCUGCUCUACUAAUACGAGAGGUAGGCAUUUAUAAUAGUAUUUAUACGAAAAAGAGGCUUUGCAGAAAGAACUAUAACUAGAGAAGGUCAAACUGCAAACUAAAAAUAAAACUGUAGAAACGACAGAGCGGCUGUCAAACCUUAUUUGCUUACUCGUCUGCUUACUACAAGCAAACUGAUUUAUGAGUUGCAACCUUACUUAUGACUUGUAUUCUUCUUGCUGAGAAAGAGAGUUCAAAGCUGCAAUUGCUCAUGCCUCUAAGCCCAUCCUUUUUUAGGCUUCUUUGGGAAUCCCCUUUCCAAUCAGAUAGAUUUCGAGAUAGAUUCACUCCAGUGUGGUGUCCCGGCUCUGAUACGCUUCCUUUAUACGAUCUCAGAGUAGCUUUAACCUUUAAUAGAGGAGUGAACCCACAUGGGAGAAGAGAGGAGUAGUAUGGGAGAGAGUCGUAGUUCAGAAUAAUCCCUGUAUCAUAACAAUAUUUCUGUAUCGAGUGAGUAGCUUGGAUUGAAUUCCUCUUAGAGUUUCCAUUCCUAUAGGUGGGCCUAAGGUUGGGUAGUUUGUAUUCCUCUCCCGCAUUGAGAGAGAUUCCAACUCCUAUAGAGAAAUACUCAAUAAAGUACUUGGCAAAUAGUAAAGUCUUCGGAGGAUGCGUGUCAAUAGAAUUCGGAAAUGCAGCAAUAAUAGGACCAACUGGACCAGAAAGUCAGAUAUACUGUUGCAAACUACUGAUCUAGUCAGGAUUUAGAAAGGUCGAUGAAUGGAACCUUGUAGAACUAUACUCCCCAGAAAAAAGGAAACUAUUUACGGGUUUCAACCCUCAUGACAAAAACAAAAAAUUGAAACAUCAACACCACCAACCCCAUCUAACGCUUGAUCGAAGUAGGCAUUGGCUGACUGACCUGACUUCGAUUCUGUAAUGAACUUACUCAAACAGGAAUCGCUGCUUACGAUCUUCAUUCGGCACUUCCUUUCUAUGUUGCUAAUACUACUUAAACUACAAGCAGAUUCGCUGACUUGCAUUCUGAUGUCCGACUGGAAAGCUUAUACCUGAUAAAUAGAAUGAUACGUAUUCAGCGGCAACUCCACUUUCAAUCUGGUAUCCGGCUUGAAUUCUGGUAUUCUCCUUGGAUUCCUCUAAAGGGCAUACAAACUUCUAAGUAGAACGGAAACCUGAUAGCUGACCUACAUUCUUCACUUCGUACUUGAAAGCUUGCCACAGCUAUUAAUACUAUCGAGACGCCAAGUCAAGCUUAAAUACUACUUUCAGUUCUGAUAACUUAGUGGCUAAAACAAGGGAAACUACUGCUUAAUACAAGAGUUAAUACCCCUACUACUAAUGCUUGUCUUGAAACCUUAUUUGCUUACUCGUCUGCUUACUAAAAGACAGAGAGCCGAGAAGCUUAAUCACAGCUUUUAUUCUUCUUACUGGACUUGAGUUCUUCUAUUCUAUCUUGAUAAAACUAUGUAAACGAUAAGUAAGCUUACGGCAUAACUUCUUGUAUUCCGAUAGCUGGCUUACUUACUUAUAUGGGAGCAGCUAAUACAAUAUAAACAACAAAGAAAUAUCACGGCUACAAAUCGAAAUUCCUACUUUCAAUCUGCUUGCAAGAAUUGUAGCUGCUUCGGAUACGACUAAUGCUUGCUAAUACUCUUGAAAACUAGAAUCACGACUAGAAUUCCUAUUUGUUACUCUAAAUCUGUAAUUCACUGCUAAGACUGCUGAUACGACAGCUCCAUACCAGGGACACGCCUAAUCUAAUACUGAUAAGUGAGUUUCAAUCUUAUAUCCGGUAAGCGAGUAGCAAGCUUGAACUCUUCCUGCUAAAACUACUGCAACUACUUAGCAAUGAUGGAAUUCAGAGAACUAGCUGUAAUUCUGCUUUCUUCCUGUCAGUCUUAUAGCAAGAAAGCAAUCUGCUAACUUCAAUUAACACUGUUUAAACGACAAGUCAGCUCUAUCUUGUAAGCCUCUGUAUACGAGAAGCAAGCAACUAAUUCUGCUAACAACUGCGGAAACUCAUUUUCGAAAGGGGAUUUCCUUAUUUACUUUAUUUCAUUUUAUUUCAUUUAAUAGAAGAGCUGCUUCUUGAAGUGAAUGAUCGGAAUUCAGAGACCAUAGAGAAUAAUCAAAUAGCGAAGGCCAAAUAGAGAGUAAAGGAAAACAAUGUGCUAACAGAAGCACAGGGAAAAGCAUUCACAGAUAGCCCAGAACAUAGGCAUUGAGUCUAGUAAAUAAAGUAGUGGAAACGGGCUAGCCAAAAGAAGGUACUAGUAAAGAUCAGUCACACGGGAUUCGUUUUUCAUAGACGAAUAGGCUUUCGAGAGCAAAGGCCUUCCUUGGGCAAACUAGUUUCUCAAUCAAUGCUUAUUCGCUUAUUUGUCACAAUAACAUACAACACGUUAACCGAGUACUAAUAACGUAAUUCCGUAUCCUUGUUGUUCAAGGAAUAAAAGGAAGAAGAUCUUAAACAAAAUCCACAACUAAAGAUAGUACUACUAGGCAGACAGGGACCCGCCUGACUAUUUCGUUUUCUUCACAGAAAAGAUGGGAUAAGCUUUUGAAUUCAAGCGCAGGGAGAACUACCAACAAGCACUUCAGAAACUCCAACUUACUCGGCAUCUACUGAACAUCACUUCUAUAUCUACUGAACAUCACUUCUAUGCUGAUCUUUCCUCUCUACCUAUACAACUGAAGUUUCCAGCUUUCCAGCAAGGUAUUGGGAUAGUUCACUCAGAUUUUGAGAUGGUUUUUGGGCAAGUGUUUAAAGACGGAACCUGGCCCAGUGUGACUUCAGGUAAAGUAUGGCUGCCUUGUAGGACAGGAGUUUACUUAGCUGCAUGCAUUCAUUGCAGACCUGGCUGCAAGCAUCCAUAGAUAGCUGCCGAAGGUACUUGUCUUAUCACUCUUUGGCAAUCGAAUUGACAGUGCAUGUGUGGAAAAGAGAGCUAGUGGAUUCCUUCUCGUUGUUUAGUCUGGAAAUACACCAAUAGCAACACAGAAUGCUAUUACGAUACCUAAACUAACCCCUACUCUCCAUUUUCUGUCUAUAUUAUCCAUAGGUAUUUGUAUUGCUGGUUCCUCUGGUGGUAUGACCUCUUUCAACAUAGCCAUAUUGUUAAAACUAUUCUCAUCAAAGGUAAAAGGAGUAUCUCCCCGGAUUGACAUCACUAUAUCUGAUAUAUCUUGAGUUUCCUGCAGUGUUAUCUUAGUAUACCCUUGUACAAUAGCACUCUCAUUGAGAAAGUAAUCCCACGACAUAUAAAGCAGUUGAUCUGGUUGAAUAUCUAUAUUACAAGGUAUAAACUUGUACCAAACUGUAGUGUAAAAACCAACUCUGACAAGUGCGAAAAUACUACCAUAUACAGUAUUGAUUCCUCCAUCCAUAGAUGAUUGAUAUAGUUGUCAUUUUUAUCAAACAAUUGGUUAAAUUAUUGGAUAUGAAAAAAUAUUUCUUUGAUAAUGCACUUUUAUAGGCUGGCCAUAACACUGUUUCUAACCACUUAUUACCAUCAUCUAUCCCGGGUGUAAAUUGUUUUAAAGAUAGCAAAUCUUUCCAAGAAUCAAACUUCCAUUUAUUUAAUGUUGCGUUAAAACUGACAAUAGGAGAUGUCCAAAGAUAAUUUGCACCCAGGAUCAUAAACUUCAUAUGAUAUUUGAUGAAUGAAAUCUUUAUUAGUUAAUGAAUCCAUAUAUAACUUACUAUGAUAUGCUAGUUGAUCAUUUAACGAUUUGAAUAUAUACGGGCCAUUAGAGAAAAUCUCAUUAGAGAUAAUAUCAUUUGAUCUAUUAGAAAUACUAUUAUUAGAUAAUAACUUCUUAUAUAAACCCACUACUUUCCACAAUAAUGUUCUAUUUACAGAUUCCACUGAUGUACUACAUUCAAUAUCCGGUACUUGGAAUAUAUUAGAUACACCUCUCUUGUCAAAUACAAACUUUUCGAACUUACAAUACAAAUCCCUCAUACGGUUGAAAUCGGUUGUCAUGAUUGCUAUACUUUAUUAAAUUAAUAUUUGAAGGUUGGUGGGGAUUUCCAUUUUUUAGAGUUGAAACUCCUACCCUAGUGCUCAAUACUGUAGUGGUAGAGAGCUAUUUUAUCCCUAGUAUACUUUGUACGUACGGCUAGAGAUUGAAGGGAAUCAACUUAGUAAGCAUAUGCCUACUUUCUAUGUGAGUUAAUCACGUGAACAGAUAGUAUCAACAGAGAAGUCACAUAAGCACCUUCCAAUCGAACUUCUUUUGCUAAUUAACAAGAGACCAGACAAUACAAUAGCUCUUUUCAUUUCCUAUAAUAUAAUACUGUACUUUAUACGCUCCUAUAAUACUUAUAUGCAGAGAAACCCUAUACGCAGAGAAACCCUUUCUUACUUAUGCAGAGAAACCCUAUACGCAGAGAAACCUUCUCUUACUCGAAACCCUCUCUUCCCCGAAGACAGUCUUCCUCGCCAACCCAUAGAUAGGCGCUUUCCUAUAUUAUAUAUAUGGAUUCGUUCCCGGAGCCAGAGCGGAUUCCAUGAAUUGACGUAUAUGCUAUGAGCGUAGUUAUCAAUCAGGUACGCCGGUAGCAAGAUUCCAUCCCAUCCCUGAGGAUAGUGAUUUCUGGUAUAGAGUAUUUAUAGAAAACUCGUAUCAAAAAUAUCAUACCAAAAAGAAAGAAGAGAUAAAUGAGCCUUGUUUCCCGAGAGAGACCGCCAUCUCUCAGGACUGCAGUCUUAUAGUCGACAGCUCUAUGUGGAGUUUUACAAGCCACCACUCUGGACCGUGGUCUUAGCUCUCACACCGAGAAAGCCUGCCUUCCCCCCAGAAGAAAGUCUUUCUCUCCCUCGUUUCGUUGUUAAAGAGAAAACAAUUGGAUGCUAGUUUGAGGUGAGACUAGUAUCUCAAGUAACUCAAAAUAUCUCUGCUCAGUAACGUAACGAUCUUCCUCAUCUAAUAAACAUCCUUAAGGUGUGCUCUACCAGCUGAUUGGCUAAGGCAAAUCUUCCCCUCGAAUAUAUUACCAUCAACGUAUAAAUGGGAUGAAAGGAUUAUCCCGAUAUUUAUCAAUAUCAUUCCGGAAAUAUAGAUCACCUUCUAAAAAUUUAGCGCACACAUGAUGCAUAUAUGUGACGCUAAGUGCAAAUAGUACUUUCUUUCCCAAGUCAGCAUUAUCCAUCACUGACUGAUUUUUAUAUGGUGACGAAACCGUCAAAGAUGGGAAAUUCAAAACGUAUUGAAGCCUGACGUCCUUGCUAAUUAUAUUAUACAUUACAUCUACUAUAUUGGUAUGAAAUAGGUUGGCAUGAAAGAACUCCAGAAUAAAAGGCCAAUCAGAAUUAUUUUUAUUUCUCGCUCGAACGAACUCUCUGAAUUCUUGUGUAUAAACACAAGGAUCAUUCAUUUCACAAAAUGUUUUAUAGUUCUCUAUAACUGUCCAAAUACUAUCAUUCUCUUUGCUCCCAUUAAGCCACCAUAGUUCACACAUUUUUCCAUCAAUGAUUUUGAAGAUAGCUCUUACUUUUCUAUUAUCUUCAUGAAAAUCGACACCAUCAGCGAUAAUAUCAAUAUAGGUUCGAUUGGUUGGGUGAGAAUCAAUCAAAGGGGUUUUCAUUCCAUCACCGUAUAAACCUGCCCAAACUAAAUUCUCCCACAUGAGAGAACAAUCAUCUUCGUCUCCGAAGUAGGGAUCAGCACUGAUUGUGUUACCGCAGCCUAUUAAAACAUGAGGGAUUUCGCUGUAUUGUUCGAUAUCUUCUAUACCCCCGACGGAGUUUACAUGAUAAACGUUUACCGCAUAAUGGAAGGCUACUUGUUUAUUUAUCAUUUCCCUCCGUCGAUCUAUAUUUUCAGUUACUAUUUUCAUUUGUUUGGCUAGCUCAACAAAAUCAACAUUAGGUGAUACCGUGCUAAACCUUCUAUCCCCUGGAUCCAUCCCUCCAGGGGGUCAGCGCAUCUGUUUUGGGUACAGAGGGCCAUAGGUUCGAAUCCUGUCACCUUGAUGUGGUAUUCACAGGGGCCGAAGUGCAAAGCCCCGUAGCCUAUCCGUGGUCGGGAAGGCAGGCGAAAAGCACGCACCAAAAAAAAAGAAAGCUAUAAUUUUCUUUUUUUCUUUUCUUCUUUGUAGUACACGAGUGAAAUUGGUUACGGUGGUACACCUGUGAAAUAUAUAAAUGUUAUGGUUGUACACGAGUUCCUUAUAUUAUAGGUGUUUAAGACCGAUUACGUCGGUUACACGAGCGGUAGUACAGCGAAAAUGUUUUUCAAUUUCACUUAGCUUGGUUACAAGCCUGGUAGGUACUACAGCGGAAAUACAGUUGGUUUCACGUUAAUUAGGUUAUCUUGGUGGCAAACAAGUGCCUGGUAGGUUAGGUACUACGACUGAAAUGGUUUAUGAUGGCACAUACAGUACAUUUAAGCUGUAGUACGUGGGCCUACUGUGGUAUUGGAUGUAUUGGUUGUUGCCGAGUCUAUGCUCGACCGCGCUCCCUCUCAGAAUAGAGAUCACGUUUCCCUUUACCCACCCAGAAUCUGAAGUGAGUGUGGAAUCUAUUCUGCCUAUUGGCAGAUGGCUCUCUAUUAUCUUUCUCUGGGUCCCCAUUAUAUUAAUAAAUAUGAGUGUCAGGCUUGCUGUACUGAAUCUCUUUAUAGUCUACCUGUCAAGCCCAAGAUAAGGGCAAGGGCAAAGCUCCAAUAGAGCACUCGGGUCUGCCCCCUGAAAUAGUUCUUGACGGCUCAGACUAUUUUCUAGAUCCGCCACUUAGCCCUGAGGAGGGUGCCUACUCGACCCAGUCAGGUACUACUCCACCGCCGGCCCCGAGUCACUCCGCAGGGGGCGGGGCUGCACCUUCUUCAAUUUCUCCUGCAGAUGAGGGGGAACCAGGGAGUCCACCACGUCCUUUCGGGUCUCUGACUCUGAGUAGCAGGGAUCUCAUAUUUCAUAAUUUGAGUUUGCAGUAUCUGGAAAGGACCAGGAGCCCAGAGGAACUUCUCAAAUUAACUAAUAAAAUCUAUGAAGGGAAGCAAUCCGUACUUUCAGAGCUUAGGCGUUUAGCUGGCCCUUUCCAUGGCCAAAUCAAUCCUGUUCCAGGAUAUGGAUAGUGCGGGCAAUGCAAUACGAAACCCCCAAACCAAUUGUGAGUAUAAUCCUAAAAUGUUUCAAAGGAUCCUUCUUGACUUGCAGCUGGAAGGGAUCCAGAGUAAAUAUUAUAGCCAAUUCGUAAAUCAAAGGGUGGAUAGCAUCCCAAAAGAAUCCUGGAAUAAUUUAAGGAUUGAUGAAUUACCUUUAAACCAAUUCAAUCAAGAAAAGUUCCUGCUUUUGGGCUGCUUUGUGAGUUGGUUCCACUGGCGUAACUACCCCCGGAGGGCGAUGCGGGGCGAGGCUGGGGGCAGCCGACUCAAUCCUUCCAAAUCACUAGAAGGCAAGUUCAUUCCUCUUGUGUGCGCAUGCAUUAUCUAAUGCUAAGGACUCUACAAGAAUCGGUUAAGCUUUUCGUUUUAGUUUGAUCGGAGUUCGGUACCGGUAGCUAAGGCAAUCCCCUCUCCUGUCCUGUCCUGUGCAAGAAUGAGGAAUAUCUUAGCUUAGUAUAGACACGUGAGUAGCUAACAGAACUGAGUAACCGACUGACAGACAGAGUAGGAUGAGGGAUUGAUGUCUGUCUUUGAUUAGCAAAAGCAGAACUCUUAUAGGAAGUUGACUGAGCACUCUCAUAAAACUGGUAGGGAGAUUUUUUGUGGUGUUCUAGGAAAAUGAGCCAUGAUCAUGAAGUGAAAAGCACGUGGUAACAAAAUCGAAUGAAAAGUACAGCCUAUCUCGAUUAACUGAUCGAAACCUAGCGCAUCAUGUUUUCGAGUCGCCAGGUGUUUAUUCUCUUGGAAGCAAGCCAACUCUGCCCACCCAAUUCUAUAUAUCUAUCUUUCUUCUUACUAGUUAGAUCGGAGCCGACACAAGGAAUUGAAUUGGUCGACGAAGCCAACAAGCAAGGUCCACAGCGCAUUAGAAACAGGGCAAGCUAAUAAGUAGGUAGGGUGGGACUUGAAAACGGAGCUAACUAUGCAUUCCACGGAUGCAAUAGCCAGAAUGAACUGGGGCUGGCUUUUCUGUAACUAGUCUUUCCUGCUGCCCAACAUUCUACUAUUCGUUCCAACUCUUCGUUCCACGGAGCUAGGAAGAAGUCCUGCAAAAAGAAGAGAUGCACUUCCGGCUGCCUGAUAGAGUGAACGAUUUGGUACGUGGUAACGCUGUAAAGUCGAUAUCUCACCCAUGAAUAGAGGGCUGGCUAGCAUCUCACCUCAAAAAAGAGAAAGUUGUCUCACCAUAUCAUAUGCUCGUUUUCUAAAUCCAGUGUUAUGCUCUCUUCUUUGCUUACACCUGUUACGCACCUCUUGUGCAGUGACAACACUACCCGGGAGUUUAUCUUAGCUGUCUGGGACUUACUCUCCUAUCCACCACUGGUACUAGUCUGUUGGCCAACACUUUAGUAAUGAUCUUGGACAAUAAGGAAGGCUGAUUGGUCUAUACUUUUAUUCUGUUAAUGGAGUACUGUAGAAGAGUUCUCCCAACCCAAGUAUCUUCGGUUUCAGUUCUCUCUCUCUUUUUGACCUGCUACUCUGCUGUUGUUUUGGCCCUUCAAGGGAGGGUUGUUGAAUUUCUGAAUUAAGAAUUAAGUAAGUAGAGCAGUUAGGUUAUGAGCCUUGCGAGCUGUAUGGGGGAGAACAUAGCCUUUUGGCUUGGAAUAAUAAGUACAAAAAAGGAAAAAAUCUCAAUAUGACAAUCUGAAUUACUUGAUGCAGUAACAUCAGGUUGUUCUGUCGUUCGACUUAUCGUUCAUCUCGCUGUACUUCUCUAUCGAAAGAUAAGGGUUCAUCGAAGAAAGGGAAGGGAACUAUCCGCUCUUGUCCUUCAAUGAAAGCAAGCCGGAUCCGAUGAAAUCUUCACUCGGUAAUAGUAUAGAGUAGAGUGCUCCAUUGAUAGUGGUGGAUUGGACUUCUUGAAAUAGAUAUAUAUAUGUGAAAGAAAGAGAUGGUUUCUUGCUCGGUGAAAGGAAUAUCACUAUCCCUCGUCCUAGGGUUUUCCUGCUUGAUUCUCUUUUCAGUGAGGGAUGCCCACUUAAUCUUAAUAAAGUAAGUAAAGAAUGAUCGAUUCGAUAGGAAGCACUGGUUCAAGGAAUAACCCUUGGAUGCUGAUCUCUGGUUAAAGGAUUAACCGUCGGAUAGCGAGCUGGAAUCGAACCAGCAAUUGAAUCUUGUCGCUACUUUGGCGGAGUAGACCGAGGGGGAAUGUAGAGUAUAGUUUACGACAAAAGGUGUUCUAGGACCAAAGGAUCGAAGAGUGCGGCCUACUGUACUUGAGGAUUAGGAAUAUGGAAGAUAGGGUUCUCCUAAGACCUAAGAAUAGUAGAGAAGCAAGGGUUAAUAGAAGCACCGCUGAUGUUGGUCCAAUCUAGCUGGGCUGGAUAAGAAUCGGGAAGACUCGGGCAAACUGGCAAACAUCGGAUGAGAUUGCACCUUACAACAUAGAAGGAAGAACUAACAUAACAAUCAUCUCAAAAAUCCAGAUGAAGGAGAGAAGGCAGCAUACAAAUAAUAAAUAGAAUAUCUAGGGUGGUAACACCUGCAACUCGGCAAGGAGAAGGAAUCCCUGUAGUAGCGAGCAGUGUGAUUAGAUAAACCGUACCCCCUGAGGGGCCUGGCGAUACGAACCGGUUGAAUAGAAGAGCUUCCUUGGUUGGAACAGAAGAUAGAAGCUGAUUAGAAAACAGAUGAGAGGCGGGCAGCAUUGAGAAAAGUACUAUACUUAACUUAGUUUUAGUUAGGGUCGGUUUGACUAAAAUAAGUGAGUGGGACUCGCGAACUGGACAGUAAAGUGACAAUAGGGUGGUCACUCGGAAUACUUUUGUUAGGGAAAGCCUAGUAAAGUGGUCAACUAAUAAAUAUUGUCAAUAAAGAAAGGACUGGAUCAGAGAAGUAUGAUGUAGUCCCCUUCCCUGGGUAUCACGAACGGGGCAUCACAACCAUCAUAUCAUUCGAGGAAUGUUUCCAUUCCGAUACUGGCAUCCGGAGUCCUCCCUACUGAUCCUUCGGAGCCGGGGUGCAAAGGAAGCAAGAGCACUGGGAGUACGAAUAUCCUUAGUCCGAGGAAGGGUGCUAUAUCGGUGGUGCAGUUCUUACACAUCAUUAUAUCCAUAUUGGAAAUCAAAUAAUCACCUGGCCCACCCCGAUUCUCGAGAAUCGAAGAGCUGACUUGCAUUCGAGGGUAGUGUUAAGCAACUUCCGGAUAUGAUCGAUAGGUUUCACCGUCAAGCAAAGCAAAUAGGAGAAAGAAGAGAAGUAGCACCCGCUGGGCAGGAUAAGUAUCUAUCAGUUGGCCAUCUCCGCCUAGGCCGGCGGAGACUAUCCAUAGGUUAAGUUGGUUCUGGUUGGAGGAUUAACCCUCUGAUUGUGAUGCUUGGCUUUUGGGCCUCGGAAAGGAAUAAAACUAGGCAAGCAAGGAGGGGAUAAAGGACCACGGAACGAGGUAAAGGGCAACCCCUUGACCGAGUGAAGGCGAGCCCGGAUUCAAAGUAAGAUGGAUUGAAAAAAGACUCCUAAAACUGCCCCCGCUGGGGUAGAUAAAAAACCUUUGUCCAUGGCCUUACCUUGUAGGAAAGGAUCGCUCGCUACUGGUAACCGUUAAUUCGUAAAACGUAUGUUUCGUAGGAAGCGGAAUCCCGUGGAAGAAUCAGUUUUCUCGCUGCGCUGGCUUAUGUGAUGUGGUUGGUCAAGCCUGCCUUUAAACGCAAGAAAUCAAGCUAGGAUUCUGGAAACCGGAAGGGUAUUCCCAAGCUCACAUUCCACUUCUGCAGCAGAGCUAAUAGAGAUUUGCAGAAAGGGAUAUGCAGACUAGAUGCACGCUAAAAGUGCCAGGUUCCAGUCAAGAAGCAAGGCAAGAGAUCCGCGGAAGAGAUCCUGAUUGUAGGUCCCGUUCCCUCAGAUAGACUGGCCUAUUUUGCCCCAGCUUCCGAGACCGGACUCGAGGAAGCUGCCCCUCCUGACAGGGAUUGGACGCGAAGGAUGGAGCAUCCGAACAUUGAAUUCGAGCUAAGAUUCUAACGAACAGCUGGAAUAAAGAACCUAUCCUUUCAGGAAUAAGGAAUGAGAAAUGGAACAGAGAGUGGUUGGAUGGAGUAUAAAAUCUAAAGGUUAUAUUAUAUAUAGUAGUGGGAAGAAAAAAAGACAAGAAAACGAUUGAAUGUCAGGCAAAACAGUUCUGUAAGUCGCGGAUCAAAGCCUGAAGUGAAGUGCCUGGUUGUCUUAGUAUUAUAAGUAAAGCAUUUCAUUCUCCGGUUUUGAUUUCAUUCUCUUUUGUGACGGUCUACUUGCUUGUGCUAAGGCUGCUGGAAUGAGCCUUCUAAGAGUAGGUUUUGAGACAAGAUCUUGAUUGAUCACUUAGUCUACCUUUUACUCAUUUCUUCGAACCUCUAUAAGUGUAAGAAAAGAGUGCAUGUACUUUUAGUGGACUUUACUUUUUUCUAUAGUGUGAGAGUACUUUCUGUUCAAUCCAGUCGCUCCAGAUCUGCCUGAGACAAAGCCUAUAAGAUCGUUAUUAAGUAAUGAAUUUGCAAAUAGAGAACUAAACUAUAGGAAUCAAUCCAAUUCUCGUUCUACAACAAGAAGAAGAUCCAUGAACUGGAACGGAUGGAAGAUAGCACUAGAAGUAAAAGAAAUAUUGAAAGGUGCGAAGCAAUCACAUCGCAACAAAUAGGUAUGUAUUACUUUGAGUUUCUCGCUGAACUCCACUGGACACCGACCUCCUAAAACUGACCUCUCUGCUAAUUCGAAUCGAGGCUUACUGCCGCUUGGUACUAUACUUCUUCCUGCCAGACUCUUUCAAUACCCAGCCCUCUUAAGUGUUUUCAAACUUGGCUAGUUUCUUCGAGAAUGGAAGCUUUGUCCUACGGCCUGCAAAUUCUUCUGCUCCUAAAGGAAGUUUCUGACCCAGCUUUAGAUGAUAGAGGAUUUGACAAAGAGACCUCUUCCUGCCAUACUGAUCGACUAUUCUCUUGAAAUGCCAUCUCAUCCUUCGGCCUAGCUUUUUCAUUUCUUCCUUAUUGGAUUCAAACUGUUUCAAAAGUUUGGUACUUGGUACAAAGUAUAUACCAACUUUCCUGGCUUCCCUAGAGGUUGUAUUAAAGCCGGCUUGCCUAACAGCCUGCUCUUCUUUCCCAGACGAGCGAGACGGAUUGUGGAUUGAGUUUGAGUUCUUUUGCCGCUUGCGAUUGAUUAAGUUACAUUACCUGCUGCACCGAGCAUUGAUUUGAACGAAUUAAUUACCAGACUUAUUGGGGAGUGUGUACGACUUAGUGGAGUGUUUCCUUUUUAAUAGAAUCAGAGCAGAGGAUUGAAUCGCAUGAAUGGGUUGAGCAUUUUAAUAGAUAUACCCUUUUUCUUAGGCAUCGAUUCUAGGAUUGAAGAAAGGGGAGAUUUCCCACACUUUGAAAGAUUCACCUAUUGGGUGGGGCGUGUUUGAAUUACCUACCCGGGAUUUUUCAUAUUAACUGUAGCUAGGGAAUUGACUGACUCUGAUUAAUAUCUUUGUCUAGCAUUUCCAAAUUGCCUCAAGACUGAUACAGAUUUUACGGAGUUAAUUACCACAGGGCGGCUUGCCCUAAGAGUAUAGUUAAGUGGGUCAAUUCCCAGAACAGACAGGGUUUAGUCAGUUCAUUGACUAGUAAAUGACUUGAUCCACUCAUUAGCAUUGAGUGUUGUCUGUAAUUUACUAUAUUAUAUUAUAUUAUAUAUAGUAGUAAUGAUGAGCACUUUUACCAGAAAGAGUUGACUGAGUUAAUGGAAUGGAUUCGCUUGUUGGCUAAUCUGAAUCGACUUACUUAAGUGUGGUGUUACCAGGCUUGGAAAGAAAACUUCUUUAUGUGUUUGAUUUCCCUAAUUUACUGGUACUCAAAUACCUGCCAAGCAUUCCCAAUCUCAGUUUUUGUCACACAAUAAGAUCCAAUUUGUUUAGACUCGUUAGGUUUGGUCACCCAUUACCUUGAGUGAGGCCAAAGGUGUACACCUAUUGUCAUGAAGAUGUGAUCAUAUCCACCGAAAGGUCUUGUUCUAAGCCCAAUCCUCUCGUCUUAGGUCCAUAAACCAACAAUAACGGGAGCUUCUCCUUUUUGGUUGACAACCUAUGUUGGUCUGACUAAGCCCACUAUCCUAAUGGGAGGGUCCCACCUUGUGUCGGGGUAAGGCUCCACCUCAUCUUGGGUUAAGGGCGAAGCUUGAAGCCAAUUUCUUCACUUUCCGUCUAGGGCUUUGCUUGGCAUUGGGCUUCGAUAUAGCUGGUGCUUUCCUGGUCUUGGAUUAAACCUCAGCUCUCCUAAUUCCGUCUAUAGGUGGUUCAAUCUUAUAAGUUUAGCUUAGGUACAUCGAUUCAAUCCUGCCCCAGGCGUACCUGAGACAACCCUUUCCUCACCCGAGAAUUGCAUUUCCGCUUCAGCUUCCGGCGCAUCCAACUUUUUCUGGAUCUAGGCAAGGAUCCUCAGUCCUAUAGAAAGAAAAGAAUCUAAGUUCAUUAGAUUAUGCUUCCUUGCCCGUGUGGAACAUGUGUGAGCAUUAUGUUUUUCCAACAAGUGAUCCGACUGGAAGAAGUGUUAUAUGAGGACUUCGAGAUCAAAUAGAGAAUCUGUCUCUCCAUUCCUCGUGAGCCACUUAUUUCUCCGAAAUCUGAGAUCAGAGUGAUUUUCCUCCUUUUUCCCAAAUAGUCGACGGUCCAUUGGGAUACUUCGGAUAAACUGGAGUACAUAUAUGAGAGACCGGUGCUAAAACCUUUUCUCGAGAUAUCUUCCAAAUUAUUAGGGUCCUUGCUCCGGAUCUUGUUCCCCCGGUGCGAAAGCAGUUGGUUCCGUAGUUUGAGAAUUCUGCUAAUUCCAAGUAUUCCAUUAUUAUUAUUAUAAAAGAGAAUAUAAAAAGUAAAGAGGAGAAGGCAUAACCAGAAGAAUUGUGAGAAAUAAGUCAAUUUAUCAAGUUGAGGCAUUUCGAUUUCCAAUCAAACCAACCCUCAAGACAGAAAAAGACUCCCUCCCAAAAUAACCAAAAAUACUAGUUGCCUUCUAACGCAUAGACUAGAGCGUUUGUCCCAUCCUUAUCUAGUGGGCCAAUGACAUUACUAUUCUACGCGUUUUCUGAGGAGCAACAUGAGAGAUAGACUUGACACCGACCCACGAAAACGAAACUUUUUAGUCUAGAAAGAUUCCCAACCCGAUAUUGAGAUCUGAUGACUGAACACUCGUUUGAAUAGCUCGAGGUGUCGACGGAGCUAACUUGUGAGACGGAGCUCACUUCUGAGAUAGAGCUGUCUUCUUUCUCUUGGUUUCCAUCCUUCCGUUACGAGAUAUCGUUUCGUACAAUACUACUCUAUGCAAUAUGCAAUUUCGAGAAGAGAGCAGAGCUAGCCCACCGCAUCCAUCCAGCCUGAAAGGAUUCACUCAACUGGACUCGCGGCUCUAGGUGAUCCCAAUGGAUCCGUACAGGGUGAUUUGAACUGCUCCUCUCGAGAAGAUCGACGGAUCGGGCGAGCAAGCAGGGAGAGUGCAGUAUUGUGCUUGCGCCCUUAAAUCAGAGAAAUCGACAGGACAGAUUUCGAGCCCGAAAAGAGAAAGUAUCUCCUCUCCAAUGAGAAAGUAUCUCUCCAGCGAAAGAAUCUCCAUCUCCUUCCUUCGGGAAACAAACCUUCCUUCCAGGUAGAUAGCAUUUCCACAGGAAAGAGAAUCCGUAUUGAUUGACGUAUUGAAACAAUCAAGUCCGUCAAGAUUGACAGGCAAGUGCAAGUCCGUUGACAUGACAGGAUCAAGUCCGUAGACAGGAUCUAGUCCCGAUAGGGUUGGUUCAGAUCAUAUAGCUUAGGCUCAAGUAGCAAAGCAAGUCCAGUAGGUUGUUUAGGUUCCGGUCAUAUACAUAUAGGUUGAGGUUCCGUUCCGGUCAUAUAGAUGUUUAGGUGGUUCCGGUCAUAUAGGUCAUUCCAGCUAUAAGCUAUAGAAGCUAUAGAUAGGAGAUGGGGGGGAAAGCCACAUUCAUUAUAGGCUAUGCUAUGGGAACGAGAUCCUUCCUUCUGGGAGCACAUGGAUCAGUGAGUUCUGGCAUGAUUGCUAGAACGAACGGAAUCUACUCUACUGGCGUGGCGCUGCUGUAAUUGUAAUCACUGAGAUUCCUUCUACCUAUGAUUUAUUUGCUAGUAAUAGUUCGAGAUGAGAUUGGCACUGUCUCAAAUCCCAGCACGAAUGCUUGGCACUGUAAUCCCAAAUGCAUGGCACUACAGUAAUCACUUACUUUCAUUCUACCUACGAUUUAUUUGGUGGGGUGGCAUCUAUAUCAGCUGCUUUCUACUCUCAAGACUCUAUGGAAUUCCCUAUCUUCUUCUCUGGCCAAGGGUGAAUCAAUCGAUUCAAUCAAAGCAACCCAAGCAUUCAAAAGUAUCCGUUUUUAGUUCUUACUUUUGCCUGAUCCGGAACCCUAACCCGCCCCAAAGAUCACCCAUACCCAUCAAGAAAAAAGGCGCAACGAAGUGGGUUGUUAUCGCGAGAGAGCCCAGCACUGGUUAUUAUGGUAAGUAGUCGACUUGGGUUGUACCAUCGAAAGCAGAAAGCCCCCUAAGCAACGCACCAAUCACCAUUUCUUUUGCAAUUGCAUUUCUUUGAGUGCCAGCGAGUAAACGAGUUGGUAUGACAAGAGAUUCUUCAUCAUAGAUGAGAUGGCAGCCCGGCACCGGCACAAAUAGACCUGAUGGAGCUUGGAAAGAUAUAUCUAUGGAUUGAGGGCCGGACUAAAUCGGAAGGGCUCUCUGUUCUAUUUAUAUUAGUAGUGGUAGACAGACAAAUAGGCCCAUUUUUGACCUCUUAAACAUCCUUACAUUGCUGCUUCAGUUGCUACCACUUUCCUAAACAAUAUUGGGAAGUUGCAUGGAGUGCCAGCCACUAUUGUAUCUGACAGGGACAGGGUGUUCACUAGCUCCUUUUGGAGGGGCAAGCUAUUGGACACUAAGUUGCAGUUGAGCUCUGCCUAUCACCCUCAGACUGAGGGGCAGACUGAAAGAGUGAAUGAAUCAGUGUCUUGAGAUGUAUCUCAGGUGCUCAGUAAGUUCUACUCCAAAACAGUGGGUUAAGUGGUUGCCAUUGGCUUGGUACAAUUCGGCUCAUCACUUCUGCAAUCCUCUCCAGUUAAAGCACUCUAUGGUAUGGCCAUGAACCCUCCACUGGAGCAGUGCCUCUCUUGGUUCACUCCACUCAUUCAGAUGUUCCGGAUUUCCAAGUGCCAGGAAAGCACAUGCUAUUGAGCUGGAGCGGGAAGAGAACUGAUUUCUUUCACUACCGACGGACGAGAUCUGAAGUACUGAAGUAGUGAUGGAAUAGAAUGGACGGAUCGAAGUCGCGAAGGAGCCUGCCCAUCUCAGCACCAAGGAAGAGAUUGUUCGUUUUUGAAUUUGAGCAUGCAUUUCUUUCAGUCUGUAUCAAAUCAAAUCAAAAGUAGUGCAGAUUCACUUUGAGACGGAAUAGUCUCGGUAAAGGAAAGAGGCUAUUGCUGAGCAUCUCUAUAUUGAUCUUCGCUUUUACGGACAACCUUUCUUUCUGUAGGUUUAGCCACCGAUCCCGGAACUUUGAAAUGUAGCAGCGGUGUUAUGAUUGCCCAUGCAGUUUCGUUUGAGCUGCCGCAAGCAAGUAAUUUUGGACGAUAGGUUAGGACUUCUCUUAUCAAGUUUUGAAGUUUGGACUUCUGUACGAGCUAAACCUGACUCGCUUUCAAUCGUAAUUUUUCUUACACAUCUAAAUACCGAUGAUAGUUCACAGAGAGUGUGGUGAACAAUGAAUUUACAACGUUGCUACUCUCUUCUUACAGAAAGGAAGCGCACCUUGCCUAGCCUAGCUUGAUGGGAAAGAGAAGAUAUGUUUUAAGCUUUCACUAUCUUAAACAUGGGAAAAAUGUUGACUCAUAAUCAAUGCUAUGUUGUCUUCCUAAGCCACCGAAGAGUACAAAGUAUAACUCACCAAGUAGCUACCCUGGUUGUUUGUCCAGGAAAUGGGGAAUCGAAUCAAUAAAUAGGGAACUUAAAUUGUCAGGUUAAGGGCGCUAAGCCUUCCAAGCCGUACCCGAGUAUAACUGCCCGGAAGGUCGUUGAAUUCGACUCUCAAACAGAAGACGAUUUUUAUGUACGUCUUACUCUUUAGAGUCUUUUUGAUUAUUGAUAAUACUUGAUGUAUGUAAUAGUCUUGUUCUGAUAGAAAACUCCACUUCUCUUGUUGUUUUUGUUGCAGGAAGCAGGAGAGGAGGCCCCUCUUUAAACAUAUGCCAGUUACGACGAGGAUUGUGAAGAAAGCAAUCUAGAUGACAACGACAAUUAUGGUGAUGAUGAGAUCGAAUCACUUGUCAGAAUACGCGCAAUAAGCUGGUAAAAGUAAGAUAAUUUGGCUCUGCAGGUCGAAGUUGAGGAUAUGUACGAACCUUGAAAGAAGCCCACUUACCCACUCUUCUUUCCCCACCAAACCAACAAGUAUACGGUUGGUGGGCCUCGGUUUCCUAUGCCUACACCAGGAAAUAUUACCGAUCGGAAAAUGAAUCGAAGAACUGAGGACGUUUCCCAUACUCAAAAAACAGCUGCAUAAAUAAAAACAAUAUUGUUUUCAAUUGGAAUUUUCGUAAGGUUCCUUACAUCGAAAACAAUAUUGUUGUAUGUCCCGGACAUAGUCAAAUUCCCCACAACCAAAACAGUAUUUUAUAGAAUAUUUUGGCUGCCAGAAUAAUAAUGAAAACGGGCAUAUCGAACCCCAGGAGCCGGCAAAUUGUAAGCACCCCCUGCCGUACGAAACUUCCCUUGACUGCCUCCAGAAUAUGGGGAUCGAUAGGAAGAGACCCCUGGGACCCAAACCACAUUACUAGAACUAGAAAAAUGGGUAAGGCGGCCACCACGAGACGCAUGGAGAUCAGACAAAGUCUUACCGAAAUUGGAUUUCCUUUUCGCGUUGUUGAACUAAAAGUUCUUGAAGACGCCUGGCUUGCUUGGUCAAGCCCAAAGUGAAAGAUACGGUGAUUCCACAUAGCACAUAUUUCCAUCUUUUUCAGCUCUGCUCCCAAAAGAGAAAGGGAGACUUGGAUUUUGGUCGGCGUUGGUUUUUCCAAGGUCUUUUGAGAACGUAAACAUGAACGGAAGUAGCGUAGGACACCCACACUCGAAGAAAUGGAUCGAUAAGAACAAACCGAACCUACACAGACAGAGAGAUAUUUACUUUUUUCACAUCUGUAACUAAAACUAAAGGGCUGCAUUUUCACAUUUCUUUAAAUGUAAAAAAAGAUGUAGAACUGAAUAGCGCAGCUGUUUUGGCUCGCAAUAAAGCAAGGGUCCUGAUCGAGCAAGACUACGUCCUAUCUAUCUACCUCUCCAAACACAAUAUCUUGAGUACCUAUGAUGGUGACUACAUCUGCUGGCAUGUGAUGUUUGGACAUAGAAUCGAGUCCUUGUGAAUGGGCAAAGCCAGGUGCUCUUAUUUUACAACGGUAGGGACGAUUACUCCCAUUACUGACAAGAAAGACACCAAAUUCACCUUUAGGUGCUUCAACUGCGGUAUAGGUAGAAGGAGCUGGUACGGAAAAACCUUCUGUAUAAAGUUCGAAAUGGUGAAUUGAGGUAGAGUAGACCGAUGAUCCGGUAGUCAUUUGGCCGGCUAUGGAAAGAAAAAGCUUGCAUCUGCUCCCCCUAAACUAUAACAGGUCCCAUCUCUCUCCAAACCUAACGUGGUAGUUUCCCAUCAUAAGGCUUUCCAUCUAUAGAUUGAUUGAGCCAUUACCCACUAAGGAUCCCAUUCGUUCAGAACUCAGUUGACUGCUUCUAUAGAUAAGGCGGAACGUCCUUAGUUCAGCAUUAUAGCACAUAGUCUCCGACGCUACUACAGCGCUUCGCUAACUCGAAGCGCCUCGCUAUGAUAUGAGAAUGACGCUUCGCUAACGCUCGGCUAAGUCGUCGAACCCUCGCGCUGACCAUUCGCUUUCUCAGUAGCGAAAGCGCUUCUCUUUGCCCCUUAACUUAAUCUUAAUAAAGUAAGUAUUUGGAAAAGAAAGAGAUUCUUGGUUUUAUUGCUCCCGCUUCCUCAUCUGCGCUCGUCAAGCCAACUUUGCUUUUUGGGAGGUGAAAGAGGAAGCGGACAUUUCGAAAUGACAGCAUCGAAGAUAUCUAUAUACACAGGAACGCUUAUUCCGGACUGCGUUCCGGAAAAAGUAGCCUACUUGACAGAAAGGGCGGGCACUCUCGGCUCGGGGGUAGGCACUCUCGUCUUUCAACCCCACCGUCACUUUGAAUUUAGUGGGGCACUGUUUACUUUACUUACAGCCUCUACGAGUUGCAAGUGAAUGGGGCCGGUGCGUGUGAACGGAAGGGUUCAUCAAGCCAUUUUAACCCCUAAACAAAAUAGGAAGAGGGGUACUUGACUAAUAGGGGGCAAUUGCAUCGCACCUGACUGUGAGGGACCUCUUGAUACCUUAUGUUCACUUCCUAACUAGUAGCCGGUUUCCUGUCGCGGAAGCCUUUUCCCAGUGCGCGGAGCCGAAGGUGUUAGUGCUUUCUCAUGGGGUCAAUAAUGCUAAUCCCUCUUUUUGUGCCGGGAAGAAGAUAAGACCUUCUCUUGGUUUCCCAACCUGUUGCUUCUAAAGGCUGCCCUCUCUCGGCUGGAUUUUGGUCCAGCCUACUACGAGGAUCCCGUAUCCCGUACAUCGUCUUUCUCCCUCCUGGGUUCCCGUGGUUCCUAUGCCGCCGCGUUUCCCGGUCCUUUUCUUUUUUUAGUGCUUCGACCCGAAGCGAUAGCUUGACGCGUUUUCCGUGGAUAAGAUGGCAGCGCUCCAGCUCACUAAAGAAUGGGACGGCAGUGGUCCGCCGGCAAGCUCGUUCUGAUCUUGGACGCAGUACAUUGGAAUCCUGAAGCACCACCACGAACGCUACCGCGCGUGCGCCUGCGGUGCGGUAAGGCACCACCCUGUUGUGCCAGCAGCCAACUCCGGCGUGUCAGCUUAGUUAUCCUCAUCAAGCCACAACCUUGAUGUCUAGCUUCCCAACUGGUAGACGGUUCCCUUUCCCCCGGAUCAAUGAAGAAGGGAGAAGUCAGUUGAUUCUUCCGAAGAACCGGAAGCGAAGCGCUAUGCCGGGGCGAGGGGACGGGAAAAGAAACUGCUCCGAAGAAAGAUAUUGGGGUUCCCAAUGCUUCUCCACGCCCAACGAGAUGCGCCAACCUCGGGAUGCUUUACUCCUAACCCCACGACGGUUCCGAGACGGAGCUUAACCUGAGUCUCGGUUAAGAACGGCGAUGAUCUACGUUUCACACGGCGCACGAUUCCAUGGAUAGUUUCAUUCGAGAUCGUGAUGGAGGACAUAGCUUACGAUCAUCGGCUUUGAUCAUGCCACUAGGCAUUCGAUUAGGACAUUGCACAAUGAUCCGAACACUUUGUCGCAUCUCUUCGAUACGAAUACAGUAACGAUCAUAGCGAUCUCCUCUGGUACCUACUGGUACGUCAAGAUCCGAUUGGUCAUGAACAUCGUAAGGUGCUGCUCUUCGCGAAUCCCAGCAUACCCCAGGUUGGGAUGGGUAGGCCCACCACUUCACUUUUUCACUUUCACUUAGGCCCGGGCCAAGUCAGUGGGGGGACCCUGUCGGGCUCCUUCCCCCCCAAAACAAACUGUACGUGGGAGUUUCCCUUCAUACGGCUCGAAUCAUUCUCAGAUGCCCCGAGAGGCAUCUUUCCUUAUGAUCUGGUGGUUCACACGCGCGCAAACGAGCACCGGCCGCAACAGCAAGGAACUAUGACCAAUAGAGUCAGACACAGAGCGUCAUACUUCUUUAUCUUGUGAUGGUUGAGGAGUUUCUUUCUCAGAGGGUGCGGGACGCUUGCGGAGUCCGUACCACCACAGGUCGUUCUUGGGCAGAUCCCGCUCCUAAACAUAAGGGAGGGAUAGGGGGAAAGGGGCCGGGCCUAUCAUAUAAAUAGGGUUGUAGAAAGACCACGUAUUUUCAUUCGACGUUCCGGGGCGCCCGAUUCGAUCAACGAAUUUGGCGAGCUGAUCUGCUUUGAUCCAGGAGAAAGCCCAGUCAGCCACCUUUUCGGUGCAGGUCACGUGACCUACAGCUCGGCCUUCGCUUUUUGAGACUUCCUCUACCCACAUCUCUAUGUGCCCGCAGCACUUUCAUAUGGAGAAAGAUGGGCUUACCAUGUUCCAUCAAUAGCACCUAACCUAUGCCGAUUUUGGCGGACCGUGCUCCACCCCGGUGAACUCAUGCGGUUCCGACGUGCCCAGAGGCCAGAGGCGAAUCCGUUCACGGUCCGUAGGACCAACACCAUUCGAAGGUUGAUGGCCCGCCUAGAAUAGGAAUCUUUGACUGGGCUUACACACAUUCGCUCACUUACGCUGUCCCCCCUCAGCUCACCCUAGCCCCGGGUACGUCGUCUCCAAGGCUUCACACAAAAUCUUCACUGACAACAUAUGCAUGCUUUUGUAGGGUCGGGCAGAACCGUUGUUGCCUGAUGGGAACUUCCCCCAUAUUGCUAUCAAUGUCUUCAUGUCGCACGACCUCUUAACAUUACACCACUGAAUCCCCAAUCCUUUGCUUGCUGUGCAGUGACAGUACCAAUAUCCACUAAUCGUUGUUUCCAGAUACGGUUGCCGGUUGACAUCUCUUCUAAUUCGUCGAUACGAGAAGCAAAUUGUUGUGUGGAGGAAUCAAUAUCUCGACAUAAGCCAAGAGGCAGAUCUUGUGCCACUCCACCAGGUCGUAUGAAACUGGCAUGCAUCCUGGCUCCCGGGACUCUUUCAUAGAAUUCCAACAAUUUCUCCCGCUCCUCAAAAGCCCAAAGGAACGGAGUUGAUGCUCCCACAUCCAUAGCAUGAGUAGUUGAAGCAAGUGAAUGAUUUGAAAUUCGAGUUAUUUCACAGAAUAACACUCGUAUAUAUUGAGCUCGUAAUGGUACCUCACAAUUCAAAAGUCUCUCUACGGCUGAAGAAUGAGCGUGUUCUUGGGCCAUCGUAGAAACAUAGAUAGGGUCAACGACGGAACGAACAACGAAACUUUACGACAGCUUUUUCGUACACGUUCACUUGCAUCACAUACACAAGUGCUCUCUGAACCGUGCAAUAAGGUCACCCAUAACACGGCUCUCCCACUGGAGUUACCUUAGCCCCGGGCCAUGCUAUUCCAUGAUAUUGGAAUAAUGGCAGCCUAACUACUUAUUAUCAUCGUCUUGAAAGCUGGGCGCCUUUUGAAUAUGAGUGGGGCUCCUAGUCUAGGCGGCGCCUUCGUGGAGCCAAACCGAAGGAAGAGCAAAAGGGCGAGGCCACACCCGGCUUCGAAUAGGAGGGGGGCUUAGCUCUGGAUCCCGCCUGCUUGCAGAAAUGAAUGGAUCAGAAAGGGGGCUGGGUUCUAUUUCCGGGCCGGGCAGGAGGUGAAGGCCAGAAGAAGAAGAGAAGUGCGCCUUCCCGGUAAGGAAGAGGAUAAAAAGGUGCUGUCAUCUAUCUCGACCUGUUUCCCGAGGCGUUGGAAAUGAAGACCGGCUCAGAGAAUCACUGGCGUGCUUUCUCUCCCCCAUCGUUUCGCCAACAAAGAAGUCAUCCUUGACUUGACGAUUGACCAUUCCAUCCCUACCGAGCCGCCUCUUCGAAGUAUUUACCUCUGCCUUUCUUUUUUCUCCAAAUAUAAAAGAAAAAAUAAAGAACCUCGUCUGUGAUUUAAUCGGCCCUAAGGGAGUUUACUCGACCCAUUCUCCAGUCUCCCGCACUGCUCAAGUGUGCGACUCCGUAUGAGGACCUCCUUCCCUUUUGCUCUGCCCACUCUCCGUUCACACGGUUAUCAAAGCGGAGGAAGGGUGGGCAGCAGGUACCACGAGCCCUCUGUCCCACACAUCUAUCAAGAAGCAAGUGUAGUUCACCGGUUCCACCGAAUGCUCCUAUCUCUCGGCAAAGAUCGUGUGAGUGUGCAGUUAUGCUUCGGAUGCUUCGCCAUGGAAUAGAUCGACUCUGUUCCCCUUCUUUUCCGGUGCACUCGCUUUAUAUCUCCGACACACAAGGAAGGACGUGGUGGGAAGAAAGCAGCCCUAGCCUCUGUCCGGUCGAUCAUUCCGCUGGCAUCUUGCAUUCACGCCUCCGUUUGACUGCCGCUCGGGAAUGUAGUUGUAGAUACGUGAGUCUUAGUGGGUCGUUGGCUCCACCUCUUAUCUCCUUCUACGACAUGCUGUAGUCGUCGCCAUAUUCAAUAUGUCACUUAGUCAUAUCUGCCUCGCAGCGGGUCAGCACCCCCGAAAGAAAGGGAGGACUUCAUUCAGUGACUCCGCGAUCGCCCUCUGAACGAUCAAAAUAAGGUAAAGCUUGAAGAUAAGUUUUGUACUCGAUUAAUUUCUCAGUCCCUCUAGUCGGGUGGGCGCCGGCCGGAUCCCCCUGAAAACCGUACGUGCGGGUCUCCCCGCAUGCGGCUCACGCCAUUUGAGGUGGCCCAGCAUUCAUUCGCAAAUCCUGUAGUGAAAUUGAGACCGCUCGACCAGCAAGAGGAUGCGCCUAGCGCUAGUUGCUCAAUCCCUUGCUUGUUCGGAAGCUAAUUCGCGUGUAGGCAGCGCUGUCUGUCUACCGUUGACUGUAUCUAUUCAUUGAUACAUUGGCCCGCUCCCCCCCUCUUUUUCCAAGAAUGAAUGAGCUGCUCGGACCUUCCAUUUCCGUCAAAUGACCCGGCUUCCCCUGGCUCUUCCACCGUCCGGGCUCCCUUUCCUCCCUAUGCUCCCCCGGCGCAGGCCCACCACGCUUCGCGCCUGCGGCGUUUUCGCCAGACGGUCUUUGCCAGUAGUGCCAUCCUCCCCGCAGGCUGUCUGUAUGGGUGGGUUGUCCCUUGCUGCUACGUUCUGUUAGGCGCUAUGAAUUACAGGAAAUUAAGUGGUUGACUUGGACAGCAGGCGGGUUACACGUUCCACUGUGCCGAGAUGUGAGGUGCAGGUGGUGAUGAUCACCCCGGGGUAUGCGCUAGCGCCCUUGACGGGCACUCCAGGACCCGCCUACGCUCGCCCAGGUCGGUCCUCCGACCAGAUGUGUGGAUAACGAGGCCACCUUCACAACCUUCUCCCUUCUAUCUUUAUCCAAAGUCAGGUAGAGCGGUUCGCUUGAGUUGCUCAACCGUCCCUUUGCCCGGUGCUCAUGACGCGCUACUCCACCGUGCUAGCGGCAUAGGAGCCUACUCAGCGUCAGCGGCUUCGUGCCGCACUGGAGUGAUCCAAUAUGUGGUUCCGCACGUUCCACCACUUCUCCGUUCAUUUCCAAUACUGAUCGUGAAACACCAUGAGCAGCAGGAUGUUGAGGUCCGGAAUUCGAAGUGAAAUUCUUGAUUUGCCCGUUCCUAGUCGUCAUGGGAAAGAAAUAAGAAAGAAAUAAGAAAGAGAUUAUUCCCCUAGAGCUUGUCCCACCUGUACUAAAAAUGCAUCUCCGCGCGUCUACCUGGCGCUUUUAUUAGCCGCCUUGCAUGCAAGCGAAGCGCUAUUGGCGGCAAUUAAUAGCUCACUGAGCGAUGAUUGAUGCAGUCAGUCAGUGCCCUCGAUUAUUCCUGAUAGAAGGAUCAUGGCGCCCCGGAAGCAUUCCAUCCAGCAGCAGCAUCUCCUUCACAACCACGCGAGGACAAAACUGAUGUUAGCUACAUUCGAGCGUUCACCGCACAGAGGCGAUCUCGAACACUACCUAUGAUAAUAAAUCCAAAGGAAAGGUCGAUAAAAUGAUUCAAUCUGACUUUAUCGGUAUUCUGGAUUGAGUAAAAAAGGGAUAUAUGAAGUUCAAGGCCUUGCCAAAACCGUCAUGGCCCUAUUAUGUAUAGGCCGUACUAAGCCAAUAGCGAAUAACAAACUCUUUCCUGCUCCCUCGACCUUAAUUUAAUUCACUCCCAUCCUGCCAAGCCUCAGCUGCCAGCGCAUUGUAUCUAAGCACACUGUGGCAAAUUGAUACAAGUAGCUAAAGAUCUCGCAUCCGAGGCCGAACGGUUAGGCAACACUAGGGCGCCUGGGUAAAAAUUCCGUUUACCAAACAAGAUGUCGAGAGGCGAACUCUGUAAUUCCCCUCCUGCAAAAGUGAUAGCGGCUGUAGCAUCCGUGUGGAAGAGGGUAAGCUUUCGGCAACACCUUUUUCAGAUUGGAAAGGAUGAAUACUUGUGUUGGGUCCUGCAGACCAGGAUAGCCUCAGAUCAAAACCGAAAUGUGCCAGGGGUUGAUCAUAGAAGCCAGGGCAAUAAGUAUUCUGGAAUUUGAGCGCUUAUGUAGCUAAUAACUCUGCCACCUGAAUACUUGAUUCAUUAAGGUCGUCACCCUAUACCCAUCAUAUGAGGAGCUUUGGACCAAAUGGUGCCUAGCCUUUCGAAAGGAAGCCUGUCUGUCUGUACACACCUUAUGACUCGAGUGUACCAAAAGAGAUCGGAUCCCGAUUCAAUACUUCCUAGAUUUACGGGUUGUUCUUCGCUGAGAGCUUCUUCACUCAAUUACCAAGAUUCAAUCGACUUUCUUUUCCGCUCGCUGCCCGAUGCGUUCUUUAUUAAAGCCCAGCUAUACGUGGAAGGAUAGGUGGAAGGCACAUGCUUCUCUUUACGACGUAAAGGAAAGACCUCUUUUAUAAUUCUAUACUAGUUCCUAUGGCGUAAAGGAAAAGAGUUUCAUUUCGGCUAUUACAUCUAUGGGUCAACGAGUUUCUGGAGUCUCUUAAAGAGGGGAUCGAAGCAAGGUCCAAUCCCAUUAUUCUAAAUUAUUCUAAUACGAGUAUCUCACAGAUGAAGAAGUGAGCAAGCCUUUCUCCAAUGGAUUCUAACAGCGCAGACUAGGCAUCUUUAUCAGAUUUCCAUUUCUAUAUUAGUUUAGUUUAGUAAAGCCCCUUUUUUAAAUCCUUUCACGCUUUCCCUUUGCCGAAGGCCGGCCUCUUUAGUUCCUACGUUUUCGGAAAAGAAGGUGAGACGCUAGCUAGCAACGGGAAAAAACGAGUAGUUAAAGAUGUGAAUGUAAGACUACUCGAAAGUACUUCCAUUUUUAUUAUAUUAUAUAGUUUCUAAUAGAGAGUACAGUUGUAUCUAUGUGCGAAACGACGAAAGAAAGAUGGAAGGCCCAAAGAGCUCUACAGUAGUGCCCCGGAAUGGGGUCGUAGAGCCGGUAACCCACUCUGUUUAGUAUUUUGAUUUCGUUCAAGGUGUUGCUCUGUCAAAUAGAGAUUGUGUGGGUGUUCAGUCUACCACUCAUGUUCACGUUCUACAAAUCUAAGGGAGUGCUCCUAGACUGGACGACUUCCCGUAAAUAACCUAGUUCAUGUUCCUUUGAAAGAAAUAAAAUGAAAGCUUUUGAAGCGAAGAUGUCAACGCGGUGCUAGGUUUGCGCCGGCCACGAUUAUUUAUAAGUAUAUUGGAAAGAAGAGUGACUAGGCUACGGUCUAACUUUUUCUUCCUAGCGGAGUUCAAUACGAAAAUAAAGGCGCUCCGCGUUGGGAAUGGCGUACGUAGUACGGGUGGUAUUUCCGGUAUAACUGAUCAGGGUUGUUCUGAAAGCAAGUCAAUUGGUGCUUUGGAAAGUGAGUGCCAGAGGCUAGUCACUGCUUGGUUUACAGAAGGGAAGGAAGAAAGAGAUACCGAAGCAGAUUCAGUAUAGAAAAGAAGAAAUUGAUACCAUUCAUUCCAGCUUAUUUGAUACCCACUUAAAGUUUCUAUCAAACCAUGUCUUUUUCUUCGAACGUCAAUCUCGUAGGAAUUUAGAUUGGAAGUGUGGUAUUGAAGGGCGAAGCCUUUACUCUUUUACUUGUUUCUUUGAAUAUAAUAUAACAUAGUAUUGACUACGCACUUCGAAAGAUAAUGGUGUAUUCCGAGGAUCAGUCCGUUUUUUAUUGAAUUCGCAAAUUGAUAGAUCUGGAUGAUUAAAAGAAUGAUUCUUCCCUGGGUAUUUCCCCGCUACCAUUAUGGAAAUUGGAGCUUUUCAAUUCCAUUUUGGAGAUGCUCGUAACGAUUUUUUUCUUUUGGGUGGGCAAGAAAAGGAUUUGACUCUUGAAGAUAUCAACUCAUACGCCUGCUCCAUACAUUAAAAAACAUUUUGGGUACUUUCUAUUAGAAUGGAUAAAUAGAAAUGGGUACAUUCCUCUUUCUCUUUCCUGGCCAAACUACCAAAAAAAAAGAAGAGAGAGAGCUGUAAGAGCGGUAAAAGCAAGCUCGGUGGCCCGGUUCACUACAGGUUGAUGUAUCCUUUUGAAAGAAAAGUCAAUCUCUCUAAAAAAUAAGCACUUCAACAAGUCAGGGCCCUUUUUUAUACAACUCCUAUGCGUAAUUGAUAGCUUUUUGGUAUUCUCCAUAUAUACUACUAGGUACGAAAUAACAGGAAAGAUAGAAAUAGUGACUUUGGCUUCAAAUAGAGAGCAGCUUAAAGGGAAGGAGGACAGCUCUGAAAAAAUAACUGAACACUGGCUAGGAACUGGGCUGCACUAAGCCCGGCACUUUUUGGGCUUCUUCAUGAAUCUCGUUUUCAGGUAAGGUCAGACUUAUUGAAUAUAUAUCUGAAAGAAAGCAAAGGAAUGAAUCGUUUUUCCAAUUACCUUCUCUCGAAAACCAUAGAUCUUCUGGUUACCAUUGACUAUCCGGCACUUUCGUCUGUAGAGCGAAGCAAGAAAUUGCAUGGAAGGGCUUGCCCUGCUAAUAUCAGCCUUGUUUGGAACAAUAGAUGCAAUCCAUUUCAGUGUAUGUCACUGAGUUCACCAUUGCAGUUGAGACGUCAGGCAAUUGAGCGUUCCCUAGAGUUUGGUUCAAAGGCUAAGGACUCCCCGCCGCCUUCAUAAGGGCACUAAGGCGGAGCACGGAAAAGAAAAUGGGGCACCCAUGUUUUACCAGUCCCGGAUCUCAGGGCCGUUUUGCACAUGAACGAAAUCGAAUUUCAUUGCGGGAAAUUUGGAUUUCAUGAGGGAGGAAAAGGCAAGGCGGAGGGUGGAGAGUCGUACAAUGCAUUGGUGGGAUGAAGGUGCUAGCUUGGCUGAGAUAGGAAGUUUCGAUGUGUAUGUAGAUUUGGUUCUAGUGCCCCCACCCUUUUCGAGAUCUGUCAGGAUUUAAAAGAUGUUAUAGUGUAAACUAUAGAGAAAUGGAAUGAAUGAAAUGUAUCUAAGAAGAAAGGAAGCCAUGCUCCAUCCUGUUUAUAAAAAGAACAUCACCUCCCUUCCCUUUUUGGUUAGAUACCGCUCCGUUAGGUACUAAUGCUUCUACCUAUCACCCUCCGGGUGAGUUUGAGAGCUGUGUUUUUUCCAACGUUAAUAGCAUUCCGCGAGAAAAGAGAAAAGUCAUCUACUGAUGUUGUCAGCGGAGUCCCUCGUCCAUCCAUGUAUGAAUAGCGGUAUCCCCCAUUUUGGACAGUGAUGAGGUAGUCGACGCAAUUUGCAUGUGUAUUUGCGUUCGGCUUUGCUACUUUCCUUCUAGACUAUAAAAGAAUGUCCGCGGAAGGGAAUAGUCUACGUGGCCCGGGCCCGGGGUAGUCUUUCAAUUCCUUUAUCGGGUGGGAGAGUUUAGAACCUGUUAAGCCAAUAGCUGCAGCUUUAGUCACACUAGCUACAUCAGUGGAUCAUGGAUUUAGCAUACCACCUCAGAAUAGUCUACGUGGCCCCUACUUUUAUUUUACUACUUUUUUUUCCAGUAAUGCAGACAGCCCUUUUUAAAGCGCUAGGCCGGGCAGUUGGUACGAAAACAGAACCAUUAGUGGAGUAAGAUCCCGAUCAAAGCAGAGCGGUCUAAUCGAAAUAAUCAUAUCUAAGAGCAGGCAGGCACACGACUGGAUAUCAAAGGUGGGGCUCCCCUCCUCUACUCUACUCUACUCUACUAAAUGAAAUGAAAUAGUAUUUGUAUUUGGGUCGUCUUUGUGUUCGAUUCGAAUAGAAGCGCCAUUGUCAUCCGCUGCAGUUCUUCAUAGUCCGUCCUAGUAAGCUGGUAGGUUGGUGGAUGUGAACAUAAACUCCUCAUAUUUCCUACUGUUGCUUCCUGUAUAAAGGAAGAGUUGUCAGACAAUGAUACUCUUUCCAAAUCUGCAAUCUUCGUCGUUGUAAUGCCUCAGUCAUCAAUAGUAGAUAGUUGCUCAACUAUGCAAUAAGGAUUUUCCUCUCCUCACAGAUUGGAGGACUUUCACUUGACUCACUAGUGGGUUUUGCCUCGGGAAACAAGAAUAUGGAUUUGAGCAAGUCUGUUUUCCCAUGGGCCUACUACCUGCUAUUUUCAAAGCGUAGAGGACCCGCCUUUCUGAUCAAAGUAUGCUUCCCUUAUGGGCGAAACCACUGAAUCGGACGGAUCCUUUUUUCUUGGAUUGACCAGGCCAGCUUCUCCACCCAAUUCUUUUCUUACGAGACGAGAUAGGCACAGUGUCAGGGUCAUGUGAUGUGAAUGGUUUGUUUGAUCUGUUUCUUGUCCCUAUGGGUUCGAUUGGCAAUCAGGAUAUCGGUCGCUUGGCACUAGUCGAAUAGGCGAUUCAGUCGUGAUAGUGCCAUCCCUUGCCCCUUGGAGUGAGUUGAAAGCACUCUUCCAGCUCUUGAUUCGCGGAAUUCAUUACGAAGCAAGAUUUCAUUUCAUUUCCAUUUACGUCAUUAGCAAAACAAGCAAGAUUCACCUCAGGAUACGACGAAUUCUGGAACACUUCCUUGAUUGAUAUAUGCAUUUUCUAGAGCAGGCACCAUUGACUGCUUCUUCAACGUCUAUACUAUACGAGACGAGACGAGUUAUUGUACGAGUCAAGCUUGCUCCAGACCAAGCUCACUUUACACGGGCUUAGAACUCAACCUGACCCAACAAGAAAACGGAUAGACGCAGCGCAACGGCUUGAUAGCCUGACUCAGCAAGAGGCGAGGAUGCACGUGACUAACUAAAACAGCUUUCGCGCUAUCAACUUCUUUGAUCGAACCUGGCCUGGCGAUUGAAGCAUUCGAGAUAUAGAAGAAACUGCCCAAGUCAACCGGAUAUUCCAAAGCAAGGGUUAUGAAUCAAAAGAGAAGUGCCAGCUGGAUCUCUGGUUCAAAGUUCAGGGCAUGGAAUUGAUUCGUAUGCUCGUUCUCUCGCUGAGCAGAACCAUCUCUGUCUGAGAAGACCCAGUCUCCCAGUGUUUCUAGAAAAGGAAAUCCCAUUCGUCAACCUAAAUGGAAGGGCAGGUAAGGGAAGGCCAGCAGGAAAUUCAGUAAGUAAGGUAUCUCAGUGCCAGUGCUCUCCGGUUUCAAGUUGAUGCGGGCAGUCGUGGGGACAGGCAAAGCUGGGAUGCCUUACUAGCAGGAAUGAAAAGGUAUGUAUGAACCAACAAAGGUCAAGUAGACGAACACAUAUCCACUCCACUAGAGAAAGCGUCGAACCAGGGAAGAAUGAAUGGUUAGAACCAGUCAAGGGUGCCGUACUCAUGCCUACGGGGAAAGAGACUGAUCCGUAUCUGAUACGCCUUCACUUCUUUCGAGCUUCUUAUUCGAUUUCUUAAAUGACUUCUUCGGGCCUUACCCUAGACUACCUUCACUUAACUUAAUGCAGAAGCCAGAGUUCGAGGAAAGCGGUAGUUGGUUAUUUCGGGAUGAAUUUCUAUUUCUAAAAUGUGGAUGAACAUAAAUGGACGGAAACGAGAAAAAUGCAUAAUUCAUAUAAGUUCAUUCGAAAGAAUGAGGAUUCAUGAUGUCUCUUCCCAACCAUUCUUCCUGAGGAAGGCACCUCCGAUCGAGUCCUUAGCGCCAUGGAUAUUCUUCGCAGUGCCUUUGGAUGCUUCUCAGAAACCGCCUCUUUCCACUGGCUAUAUGAAAUUCCAAAUGAGACUUCCCUGCGUCGCCAAAGGAAUGGGAAACUUCUUGGUUCGAAACCUUUGAUCCUAUGCCGCCUGUCUGAAAAUAAAUAUAAGCAAGGCACCUAUGACUACGAAUCCGAAGGCCAAGCAUGCGGAUUUGACAUGGUUUCCCACUUUUCUCAGAGUCACUGGGCAAUAGAAAAGUAUACAAGCACAUUUCCAAUCUACAUAAAGAUACCAACCAGGUAUCUACUUCAAAGACAGGGCGUCGGCGAUCCUCUACUAUUAAGAGACAGAUAACAAUGGUGCCGACAGAGAUGGACAGAACUGCAGAGAAUACCUCUCCGGAGAAGUCCUUACAUGUCUCAAACUAAAUAAAUCCAACCUGCAAGAAGACACACAAAAAAGAAAAAUAUGAACUAUCCUCCACUGACAGCAAAAAAAUUGGCCGAAGUGAAAAGACUCUUGAAAAAGAGUCAGAUUCCUGAAUUGGAAUAUAGAGAAUACGAGUAUGAGGUUAGAUAUGAGAAAGAAAUGCGUGAAUUAGAAUUGCAGAAAGAUAAAAUUAAGAGCGAUUUCUUUAACUGUAAUUAUAACCCGAUCAGGGAGUCAGUUAGGGUAUCAACGGAUAGAGACCCUGAUUUAGAGGAUGAAAAAAGAGAGCAGCUAGGAGAGUCUAUGCAGGCUGAAUGGGAGAGACUAAGGCGGGGUGUAGAAGUCGGUACUUCAGAAGAUAUCAAUGUUGACACAGUCAAACGUUGGGGUUUGCAAAAUAAUAAGUACAACGCUGAACACUGGAUCCCUCCAGGGGGUCAGCGCACAGCUGAGGAUAUGGGAAAACUCUACCAAUUCUGGGAUGAAUUCAUUGAAACAUAUGAAAAUGAGGUUAUGAUGAAUUCGGGGUACAGGGAACCCUUAAAUAAAGAUAAAGUGUUUAAUACACUACUAGAUCAUUCUAAUAAUAAGACCAAUCAGACGGCUGAGGAAUUAAAAGGCAUUCAAACUAAAAUAGAACGUAUGACUAUGUAUUUUUAUGAGGCCAAUGUCUAUGAAUCAUUAGGUCAGUUGAAGAAUAAGUUCAUCAAUAUAGAUGAGCAAACAGCAAAGGAUUACCUUCUUGAUAAGUUAGAGAAACCAGACGAUCUAGAUAUCGUUAGAGCUAUGGGCACCUAUACACUGGAAUGUAUAGUUGUAUUUGUCUUAAGCAAGCAGUUUAAUGUGUUUGCUUUGGAGAAGGCUAGUGUUCAAGUUGCUACAUUGGUGAGUGAACUAGAUUCCGCAGCUAAGAUUGAGUAUAAUCGUAUAAUCGCUGAGGGUAGAAAGCGCAAAAAAGCUAAGCGGGGUGAUAAGCAGAUAAAUGAAGAUGAAAACAUCUUAUUGCAAGAUAAAGGUGUGGAUACCUUUAAUGGUGAUGUACAUUCCGAGCUGGAUAGAAAGAAAAAGAGCAUAUCAAAACAAACGAAUCGAAAAAGAGUUCGAAUCAGUAAACAUAAGGAGCCCGGUAUAGGGGAAGCCCUGUUUGGCUGGCUGGCUAGCAGGAAAUUGAUAGAAGUCAAAAAACCUGUUUUUCUCUUUGAUAAGAAGAAUAAGAAGCCAAAAAAUGUAAUAUACCCGGGCUAUGUAGAUUGUCUAUUUGACAUUAAAGAUCUACCCUUCUGUUCAACCUUACCUAUGGUAUACCCUCCAGCCGAUUGGGAAUUACGGCCCACCGCAACCGCGGAAGUCUCGGAUCCAUAUAUAACGAAUCUGACCCCUCUAUCGAGUUAUAGAGGUGGUUACCUCACAACCCUACAAAGGGAGAGUGGAGAUAGUCCGACUCUCUUAAGUGAAAAAGAUUAUGGUGUAUUUGACAUACAUAUCGAUCGCGAGAGAUCUCAACCAGUGUUGAGUGCUGUGAAGAAGCUUCAGCGGCAGCCCUAUCGAAUUAAUAAAUUAGUCUAUGAUUUUAUACAAAAACAUUGGAGUGUAUUAGUGUCCGUGGGGCUUCUCAGGCCGAAGAAUCUAGCUUUAUUUAAACGAAAGGAGGCGCUCAGGCUACUAUCUAGCCUUUUGUUUAAACACGAGGAGCUUUCAACGAUUUAUCGAUAUAGUGAGUUGAAAUCUGUAUUGUUAAAAAAUAUACACGCGUCAACCUUCGAACUAUAUACUAUGAAAAUAGCUGAGGCUUAUCUAGAUUAUAAAAUCUAUUUUCCAAUCUUUCUGGACUUCAGGGGGCGAAAUUACCGCCAUGGACCCUUCCAUUUCCACGAACGUGAUUUAGUGAGAUCACUCAUCAUAUUUGAUGAAAGUGAUGACUCAGCAGCACAUACUAUAAAUAGUGAUGAUGAGGAUAGAAUCCUCCAUAAUUUCCUUAUAUCAGCGGCAUACCAUAAAUCUAAAUUUGGUGUAUACCAAGACGCUAUGGAGUUUAUCUCUAAAAUAAUACCAGAUAUGGUAAGUAAACCUACAUUCUUUGAAAAAGAUAUCUUUAUGGAUACACUGUGCUGCAGGCACCCAUUUCAGUAUAUAUCAUCAUGUAUAAGUUUGAAGACGUACGCGGAUACAGGAGACUUGUCUGUGCUGCGAUACACACCAGUAUCCCAAGAUGCCUCAGCAAGUGCUUAUCAGAUGAUGAGUUACUUUUUGUUGGAUAUUGAUUAUGGGAUACAUACAAAUCUUUUAAAAACCCCAAAUACGGAUGGCAGAUAUAUCAGGGAUAUAUAUGAAUUCAUGCGGGAUUGUUUAAUAAACUAUCUCAUCGCUGAAGAAAAGAUAGAACUAGUAAUUAAACUACUUACACGUAAUGAAAAAGAUCAAGAAAGUGUAUUAGCUAAGAUUGUUAGUAUAUUUGAUCGCAAUGUGGUAAAGAAAAUGUUUAUGCCCAUGAUGUAUGGGAAAACCGAUUAUACCUUAAAAAAGGAUGUUGAAGAUCUAUUAAAGGGUAAGUCGGAUUCCGAGGGAAUAAACCUAAUUUCAAAACAUAUUUCUACAUAUUGGAAAGAGAAUUUUGGAAAAAUGAAAGAUCUUAUGGAUCUUAUCAAUUAUGUUAGCUGGUUUGGAGCAGGACAGGAUAAACCGGUGGUAUAUAGUACGCCGUACUGGGUAACGCUGCAAACAUAUAAGCGGCGUAAACGCGUAAAAAUGAAAAUACAGUAUGAAACAACCAAAAAUAACGAAAAGGAGGUUAAAACAACAUCGGCUAAAAUGCUUGUACCGUUAAACGAUAACGAUAUUAGAAAGAGCUCAACCUCAACCUUUGCCAACUUCAUCCAUCAAAAGGAUGCAUUUACUGCUAUCCAGCUUGUUGAGUUUAUCAAUAAACUCGAGAAUGCUUCCUCAAUUCCUAUAUACGCAGUACAUGAUAAUUUUAUAACUAUGCCUGAAUAUGCUUGGAUUUUGCCGACCCUUUAUAGGGAAUCAAUCUUUCGUAUGGGGCACCCACUCAUCAUAAUAAACAAAUUUUUAUUUGAUCAUAUACUUCUACCUGCAAUACAAAACGAACAUCCUAAAGAUAAACACUUCUUCUCCGUGGAAGAGCGCUCUAUGUUAUAUCGUAUGAUGAUUGAUUUACAGAAUCCAUUGAUUCCCGAUUUUGGAAGUGUUGAUAUUACUAAGGAUAGAAUCAAAUCUAUAGUGAUUCCGAAAGAUCUUCUUCUUAAGUGCUUUUCAUGUUUAUGGAUGAGUAAAACUAAAAAAAUAUCUUUAGUUAGAUGGGAAUCUUGUCGUGAUAAAAUCAUCAAGGUAUACAUGAGGUAUACUGAUGAUAUCUCUUCAGAUGAAGGGGUUAGUAGAUGGUUGGAAUACAAGAAGAAUCUUGACUUAGCUAGUGAUCCUGUAUGGAGUUGUGAUAAUACUAAUGGUACUCAGGCGGAUUCGCUUGAUAAAGGCGAGGAUGACUACUGCAUCCAUUAUUAAAUGUUGUUUUACUCAACUGAUUCCCUGCAGCUUUCUCAGCAUAAAACAUAUUUUAUAUCCCGGUUUAGUAGGUAUAUACAAAUACCGAGGCCACCACUACCAACUACUUGGUAGCCGUGUGGGAAAGAAGUGUGGGAAAGUGGGCUUCUUUCGCUGUGAAUACAGAUGUUUCUCCCCCCUUGAGACAGGGAAAACAUUCAAGAGCUUAUUUCAUUAUUUCCAUUUCUAUUUAGUGAUGUAUAAAGCGUAUAGCGUAGAUUUAGCGUUUGAUUAUUUCAAGUUGAAAUGAUAUUUGUCAUGAUCAAUACAUAUCACUAAAGAUUGAGUUUUUAUUAACCUUUCGUUAUAACCCUAUAUUUCCGGGUGUAAGUUCAGGAAGAGAAGAGCUAAUCUACUAGCUGGAGAUGAGUAGCGAGUUGAAAAAAGAUCGAUCAGUCCUCUAAGAGCCGAGUAGCAUCAUGGUAGAUAUCUUCUGCGAGGUAGGCUUUCCUAUCUGCCGAGUAGACCUAUCUAGCUUUACCUUCGCGGGUAUUCUUACAAUAGGGAUACCAUGAUCAAAUGUCUUCUGAAUUCCACACCUCAAGGCAGCCAUCCUCAUGAAGGAUAAGAGCUUUGUCAUUGUUGUCGGCCAGUAAUAACCCAUCGGACGACCACUUAAUAUCUACACUAUAUAGAUCUAGUACUUCUAAUAUGUUAUCUAUGUCACAAUCGUCGAUUGUGAAUUCGUCAGUUUGUUUACAAAGAAUAAAUAGUUCAUGACCGUAUCGACUAUAGGUGAUCCCCGGAUACCGAGACUCGAGCAAGGAAUCUACAGUAUUCUGAUAGAAAUUAUGCAAUAUAACGUGUGUUAUUUCACCUAUAGGUGUUAACCCCGUGGAGGGGAAAAAGCAGUGAUUAUGAAAGUCAUAGAUAGGGAGAUCUAUAAUCCGUUCAACCAGAUUGAAAUAUACUCCAUAUUGGUUUGUAAAUUUCUGGGAUGUUAAUAUACGCGAAGUAGGUAUAUAAUUCAUACAAUCACUCAAAUCAAUACUAACGACUUUAACGACAUUUUCUUGUCGAUUCAAGAAUGCGUAAUGCAUGGCUUUCAGAUCUUUGAAUUUAGAAAUGUUAGGCUGAGCUUUAAUAACUGUUGUUAAAAUAACAUUAGAUAACCCCUUCAAUACAAGUAGGUCCAUAGGAACUCUACACUUAUACACUCCUAUAAGACUAUGAGUAUCCAGAUUCCUUUCAUCCAACCAUAAAUAGCCCUUCGAUGCUUCCAUACGAAUCACAUCAUAGAUUAAAGGCGGAAUCUCCUUAAUAUUUAUUUGAUAAUAAACAACGGGACCAAAACGGUAUUUACCUGUUAAGUUCAAUUGAUUUAUGAAAUCAUUAAUCAUGAAAGGCAGCACACCUCGAACCCUCCAAGAAUCGUUAUAGAUAGAUCGUACUUCCUGUAUUGGAAGGGUUAUUGGAUUGAACAAUGAGGAAAACCCGGAAUAUGCUUUCGGCUGGGUAGGAUUGGAAAGUGCAGUAACGGGUUGGAAAGUCAAGGCAAGUCAAGGUAGUUGUUCCAUCCUUGAGGGGUCUGUCUUCCGGCACUUUUGGGCUUAUGGCGCAGGGCCAACCAGGGCAACUAGAACAAGUCUUUAUUCCUCGCUUAGGUUGCAACACAAGUACAGGUACAAGUGAAAGAGAGGUCUAGUACGGGUUGCCCAUUGCAGUAUUGGAACCAUCCUCGAAGGGAAGUGGAGUAAUUAUUCGUAUCUUUUAAAGAUUAGUAUAGCUUUCUCACGUAUUCCCCCGAGUGCCUGCAUUUCGACAAAGUAAUAAGUAAAAAGUAGUUGGCAGGUGAGGUUCCAUCGUAUCUUGUUUAUGCUCGAUGCCUUGAAGUGCUCUCCGAAUUCCGGCACUUUUCUAGCGGACAAGACUGGUUGAGGUAGCUUGUAGAAGUCUAGUAAAUCAGGAAGUUUCCUGUAGCGGUAUAGGUUCAUAGGCAGGCCUUGAAUGGAAAAAGUCUCAUUAAUCAGCUCUUUGGUUUCCAGUAGUGGAUAUCGUUCGUUUAGGCCAUGAAUUUACUCGGGUAAGCGCGAGGUUGCUCGGUUUCCUCAAACAACUCUAACCACAGCCCAACAAAAAAAACCACUGUUUUUCCUUUGAAAGCAACUUACCGAAUAACUCCUUUUCUCAAUAUCCGCUUAAGGGUCUACCCCCCAUGCAGAGAAGUAAAGUGAAGUAAAUGCGGUUGUAAUGUGGCACUUUUGGUUGGAGGAGAGCGAAAGACAAGAUCUCUAUUCGUUGAGGUAUCGGUAUCGGUAGUAGUAGGCUUAUGGGAAGACUGUUUAAUCCUAUAACGUAGCCAUCCCUACCCUGCUGUAGAUACGGUAACGGGUCCUCGUCAUCGAUAUCCAUCCCAAGAACGGAAAACGGAUCCUUUCUAUCGGAAGGGACGAGCAAAUACGCAAUAUACUCGGCAUCCGAUGGAGGCUCUACAAGAGUUGAACUUACACACCUUUAUGAUACUAGCCUUUAGGCCACAGCAAGCUUCCACUCCUCAACCUCCCUAAACUCUACUUACUACUUACUCUAAUAGGAGUUGACUUGCUUUUGGAGUUCUUACUGGAUAUGAAUAGAAGUUAGGGCAUGGCAUUGACAGUGGUACUAGGGAAUUGGUAUAGAUAGCUACAGUAGCAGUUGUAAAGACUAGGGCUUGCUUUUGUAGGUAGUAGUCUUGGGACACGCCGGCAAUGGGUAUUUUGAGCUGCAGCAAUUGGAUGUCAAGACGACCAUAGAGAUUUGAGCUGUAAACACAAGAAGUAACCGACACAUUUUGAGUUGGGUUGAGUAAGCUCUAGCUCGCAGUUCCUCAAUAAUAGACUUGCACCUGGGAGAAAGGGAUAAAAUGGAUCAGGUUGAAUGCAUGGAAUUGGCACUCAACAGGAAAGCGAAACUAACCUUUCACUCCCCACUCUUUCCUAUCCUCGUAGAAAGUCCUUUACACGCCGGGCAACCGGACCAAAAGGGCCGCUUUCCCGUUGCUGUUUGCGCUAAACUUGGUUUUGAUCCUUGGUUUUUGUUAGCUCCCGAGCCUUUACUUGUCAAAGCCUUCGCUCUUUGUUCAAAAGCGCGGAUGGAUCUAUGAGGCUAUGUGUGGACUAUCGCUCUCUCAAUGAAGUGACAAUCAAGAAUAAGUAGCCAUUGCCCAGGAUCGAUGAUUUGUUUGACCAAUAUCAGGGUGCGUAUCAGCUAUUCCAUGGACUUCAGGUCUGGGUAUUCUCAAAUGAAGAUUCGGCCGUGUGAUAUUCAUCAGAUAUCUUUCGUGACGAGAUGCGGGCUCUACUUAAGUUAAGUGAAGUUCGGGUCAUUCCAAUACCAGUUUUAGGGCUGGCCUUCCCCGCAACAAGGAUGUGAACUCAGACAAGCAAGAAAUCUCAGAGGAUGCGCUAACGCUAUACGGCUUUCAUGCUAGAAAUCUAUCUAUAUAAUGAUAAUGCGAGCCGAGCAUUUCACCCUAUCUACUCACGGCAGUGCAACCUAUCAACCGGGAAAGGUCACCGUAGACUAAGCUGGCGCACCUUACAAGAAUGACAAGACAAACUCUUUACCAGCAUUCCUGAUACCGGCACUGCCCACUAAUCUCGAUCUUGAGAAUCACUACCCUCUCUCUCUAGCUAGCUAUCCCUCUCUCUCUAAGUCUCGGCUUUUAUAGCCAUAGCCCGAUUACAGCAGCUGCAAUUCUGUAAACGAAAUGUAAAGCAAGAGAGGAAGCGUAAACUGAAAACGUAAACUGGUGGUAAAGUAAAUGGAAUCAUGGCCGUUGGAUGCUCUUCAUCGACGGUCCUCGAUUCUUCUCAUGACAGGCCAGGCCUCCCCUCUUGAAGCAAUCCUUGUCCUCAUCCUCAACUCAAGGAUAUCGUUCUGGGAACCAAGCCUUCAGCGUUGCAUAGCAUAGUCGAACUGUGGAAAAGAGCUUUGAAUGAAACUGCAAUCUUCCCAAGUUGAGUCUUCUGCCGCCAGAUUAAUUUGAUCCUCCAUUGAGAUUUCACCACCAUACCGUCAGAAACAGAACGAGUGCUCAACACUGCAAAUGGUUCCGUUUUGAUCAUCUGAGGUGACCAUAGGAAGUGGGAACAGCUUUAGGCCCAAGAUGCUUCUGAAAUUGGCUCACAUGGAAGACUGGGUGAAUCUGUGCAGUGUGAGGCGCAAGGCUGCUGGACCAAUUUUCUGAAGAAUAAGAAAGAUAGAACUUUCUAGCUAGCUUCGUUCCUGACCCCAGAAUUUUCCUGUAUGGCUGUAGCUUAAGGUAGACCAUAUCACCGCAAAGAUCUCUCACUUCUGUGUUGAUCUGCAAAUUUCCCGGGCUUGAGCUCAAUUUUCCUUCCGCGCCGCAAUCAUUUGCUGUUUCUCAGCCAAGAAUUCAGCAGCAGGAGAUUCUGGCCCUGGGACCAUCACUUCACUGAUUAAGGGUUCCGCCAUACAUUGAAAGGGGGUACAUUUCUGUGAGGUAUGAUAGUCUUAUACCACCGCUCUGCCAGAGGCAACCAUGCAUUCCAUUUCCUCGGUUCAUAGGAAAGAAAGCCCUUCUCGUUAGUCUUCUCGUUAGUACAGCAGAAGAGAAGAGAGCCGUAUCACAACAACAUUCGCUUCAUCCAAGCCAACCUUAUUAGAAAGCCGUCUAGCGCAUCUGGCACUUGUAAGUAUCUGCAUCCGAGUCACUCUCCUCAUUGGCGGAUCUGAAUCUGAUCAAAGUAUGAUUCUCUAGGGUCAACGUAUAGGGUCAAAAGUCCUACCUGCUCUCAAUCCGGAUGUUCUUCCUCUGCUUCUCCCUUUCUUUCCCUUCGCUGUUGUCCGAGAAAUCAAUCCUCUCUUCCCCGAAGAGAGUCUUCCUCUACAGGAAAGCAGUGCUUUUCUUUUCUAUCCGUGACUUAUCUUUGACCUACCUUGCUUCUGCUUCUACUUGACCGGUGCUUGCUUAUUAGAUCCUAUCCACGCUAAAGAAACAGGAAUCAGGAAGUUGUUUCUUUCAUUUAUACCUAUGAUAUCCACGCUAAAGAUGAGUGCCUUCUUUUCUUUGACAGUUCAUAUCAGCUAUCCCAUCUCUUUCUUGCUCGGUGAAAGGAAUAUCACUAUCCCAUAUAUAUAUCUAUUUCAAGAAAUAUCACUAUCCCAUCUCUUCUAUUAGUUCUAGUUACUGACCCUCGAAUACUGUGCUUUCUUACCUAGCUAUUAUGCAUAAACCAGUGCUGCUAAAACACCUAGUCCUUACUUCUAUUGAGACUCUACCCUUGCAUGAAAAACACUGUCUUGAAAAAACGACUUGCUUUUUGAAACUAUACAUCAGACUUUAAGGCAUUCAGAAAAAUCCAGUAUCGACAGGCCUAGUUCUUUUCCUUUGCUUAUGCAGGGCAAGAAUUUGUAGAGUUCAAUCAGUACAAUAAGAAAUAAAAAGUAUUUUGUGGGUCAGGCGACACCCAGAUUUGAACUGGGGAUAAAGGAUUUGCAGUCCCCUGCCUUACCGCUUGGCCAUGCCGCCAAAAGAAAGAAGAGAAAGAACUGGGAGUUGGCGCCUACAUAACAGGUAGCUUGCUUACCAAGCCGUCCUGGCAAGCUCCUACAGUUCUCUUAUUAUUCUUGACUUGACUUAUUAAUAAUAAAACUACUCACUAACAAAAUGAAAGACGAUCUAGAAUCUACCCAAGAAGAUAGAGAGUCCCACAUACGAGAAAAGGUCACAAAUGGAGUUGAACCAAGUAACAUUGCAAAGGCAUAAUGAUAGUAGGGUCGGGAUAUCCCCGCCCUCCGAACCGGACGUGAGGGUCUCCCCUCAUCCGGCUCUCCGCAGGGGAAUCUCCACUCACUGCUUCCCCUAAUAUCCUCCCUCCCUUUACCACAUCAUGGGGGUUUACAGGAGAUCCCAGAGACUCGCUCGGAAAGGCUGCUAUACCAAACAUUAUUACUUAACUACAAAGAAAGAAAAGACUAUAGUAGUCACUAGACUGACUAUAGUAGUCCGUCCGGCUGCUCUUGCUUAAAUCAUUACUCUUCAUUCUCCCGUGCUCUAGCAAUUGCGCUCCCUAGACCACUACCAUUUAGUUAGGUAGGGACAAUCAAUCAAUCCAAUCCAAUCCAAUCCAUAGUUACGGGAAUAACGGAAUGCAUGGGGAUCCAAAAAAAGAGAAAAAUGAAUAUUUUCUAUGAAAUCCUUUCUUUCCAUAGAUGUAUCUGGUCUGAGACGGUACAGUACUCUAUGAGAGGAAUGCAAUGGGAUGGAUGGUAGAGGGCUGCCUGCGCCCAAAAGCGAUGAUUCACUUGUCCCCUUGUCUAUAGGGACCUUGUGGCAUACAACCGCCACGACUCCUGCGUUAUAGCCGCCCCUUUCUCUCUUUCUUUUGACUGCCUCGUGGACGGACGAAAGAAGGGAAGUUACAGAAGGGGGCAGUGAAGGCUCGCCAAGUAGACAGCAAGCCCCCACCCCGUCAGUCCUGUGUUGCCGUAGCGUGCCCUACUUCAAUAAGGUAUUACCUCGCCGAUUUGAAAGGGGAUUGGAUUCAUUCACUUGCAUUCCUGCUAGCACUACAAAAAGCUCCGGUCUUAACGACCCUACGGAAGCUGUGCAGCCUUUCCUCGGGUUCGUAGAGUCGGGUUUCCCGUUUACCCACAACGGAGGAGCCGCCCCCACCAACCAAAGCAGGUAGGCGGCCACGGUUCAUAACGCACUCUUCGCACAACAGAUCCACUUUGAAGUUGACUUAUUCGCUCGGCCAAUCGUCGGAAUGUGUACGAGAUACCAUAAGGGCCCAAUAUCUCAAUAGCACCCUUGUCUAAAGCUUCGAAUGAGACUGAAUAUCCGAAACGCAGGAACGAUCUGACUAGAAAGUCAUUCAAAACUUGAUCGAAGAACCAGCGUUUAUUGAAGAAGCUAUAGAGUCGAUUACAAAAAGUACUAGUUUGAAAGGCUCGUUGGAAUUGAUCCGCUACGAGAUUUACAUUAUACGCUAGAGAAGCACCUGAAGUACUAAACAGAAUAGGUAUUAGUUUUGUAAUGGUUGGAGCAGCAAACUCGGAUUCGGCAAGAAUCUCAUUUUUUGGUAGUACGAAGGGGGAAUUGGCCCAAAAAUUGGAUAGGGGUAAAGACGCAGCCGGGUGCCGGCGGCUUAUUCAAGUGCCCCCCGAACCGCGCGAAAUGGUCGCCUAUUACACGGCUCACAAACUCUGCCUGGGGUGGGGCUACCUAUUAUUCGUAGGCGGUACGUACGGCGCACGCAGGGCCUCGGUUUGCUGCGUGGACUGUCUAUGCAUUUCCUACAGAGUGUAAUGGAACCCAGCUCAGCUCCGCCGAGCCAAAAGGAAAGAACAGCCGGAGGCGAAGAGUAGAGUAUAGCCAAGGGGCUGGCUUUCGUCGUCCGUAAAGGACCUAACGGAAGACCGUGCUCCGAAGUGCACUGAGAGUUUUGUUUUAAGAACACUUGGCCUUACCCCUUCGUUUUGAGCCAUGUCUAGGUGGCAGAGUGUUGAUCCUCACCCGCCCGUAAGCGGACUCUUUCGACAGAAGGUUGCAGAUGGAAAAUUCCCGCUCUGUAGGUCGUCAAGCAUUUGAUGCAACCUAGCCAAGUGUUCUUCACCAGUGGCCGUACGGGGGUUGUCCAGGGCCCGCGCCCCCCGUCCCAUCCAAUCGCCACUUGGAUGCAGGCCCGCCAUCUUCCGGAUUAUGUCAACCUUGACCUCAAAUAGGUCUUCGGCUUGAAUCCGGGCCAUUCUUAUGUCAUGGGCUGAAGGAUUCCAAUUAGUCCCCAACAGCCGCCUCUGAAUGGAUUCUACGCUAUCCCCUCCUAUUAUUUCAUUUAGUUGAUGGGGGUAGGGGACGUAGGGCGGAGCCCGAUUAGCUGCUUCCUGCAUAACAGGAAGAGCGGGAGGCGUAGCUUGUUCCCCCUGAAGCGGUUGAUUGACCGACGAGGUGGUACUUCUACUACGCCCGGAACUGGCCGAAUCCUCUACCAAAUAGGAAUCGGAAGUAUAAGUAAAUAAGGCCGAAUUGGAGGAUUCGGCUGCUCCGUGCAUCAUGUAAUUUGCCAUGGAUAGCCCCCCUCCGGUAGCGAGGAAGAAGGCCCGUAGAGCGAAUCCAACGGCCAUGAUGAGAGUCACGGAGGAGCAGCCAUUCCGAAGUAAGAGCCUGACUAAGGCUUCCUUGCUCAGUGAGUAAGCAAGUCGUAAGACCAGUGCGUCCCCCCCAGUAAGACAAAAAUAGAAGAGAUGAUAAAAAAGAUAAAGAAGGAAAAGAGCAUUUUUCUUUUCUUCAUAUCCAUUCCACUAAAUCUCAUCUCAUAGUUACUCUAAACUUUGAAGCUCAGCUCUGCUCCCAAAAGAGAAAGGAGACUGAGAUAGGGGUUGUCCUUGGUUUUUCCAAGGAAAGGAAAUUCUUUUGAGAACCUGAUCAUAGAGGAGCCAUAUGAAGCUAAGGUUUUUGGAAUAGCGGUGGGCUGGUAACGUAAUAAGGGAAAGGAAGCUAGCUGCUUCCAUAUCGCCCCCCCAAAAUAACCAAUAAGUUCCAGAGGCAUCUUCCAUUCAUUUAGAUUUUGGUCUUUCUGCGCCAUAUUUAGAUCUUCCCUUUCUACGAUCCGGAAUUCCCAGCAAAUCCUUUACUCCUCGAAUACGAUGGGAUUUCACACCUGGCGAAUCUUUCACUCUACCCCCUCUGACUAAGACUAUAGAAUGUUCCUGCGAAUUAUGACCUUCGCCUGGAAUGUGAGCAAAUAUAUCAUGUCGAUUGCUCAACCGUACUUUUGCUAUCUUACGUAGAGCUGAAUUAGGUUUUUUCGGUGUUCUCGUCGAAACACGCAGGCAUACUCCUUGCUUCUGGGGACAUUGAUCCGAAGCUCGAGUACGGUCCGUGCGCCGUUUUUCUUCUCUACCAUGACGAAUCAAUUGAUUUUU